UUUUUUUUUUUUUUUGUUUUUUAUUUUUUUCUUUGGCAUGUUAUAAUUUGUCUGUUAUAAGAAUAAGGUAACGUAUGACUUCGUAACAGAUGAUGUUCAAUCAAUGUUGAGACAUUCAUAGCUGAAACUGGUGCAGGCUCAACAAAAGAUUAAUGCUAAUGUUUGAUCUUGCUGUGCAUGUGUACCAGAAAUGGACAGAACUGGGCGUGCUUCUUCCAUUUCUAAUGAGGAAUAUAGUAAGCAGAUCGUGAGACAUCUGUGAAUGUGUGCUAUCAUACUAGGUUGUAAUUUGUAUAACUGUCUUGCUGUAUUAGUUACAAUGUUAGAUCAGAUGUCAUUACUUGGAGUAGAACAUCUAAACUCUAACUACACCAGAAUUACAGUUAAAAUAAACUUUGAGCCUUAUAUCCUUUUGUUUCAAAAACCAUGAACCAAGCCACGUUACAACCUUCAAAAGACCUAAUUGAAGUGGGGUUUAUUCUGAAAGCAUACUACAACAAGGUUGAGUAAACUGACUCCCAAAGAUUUGCUAAUAUGUUAUUCUCACUACAUCAUUCACACGCUAGCUAAACCAGCACCGCGAUUAGACUCAUGAUCCACUCGCCACACACUACCACAACACUCCAAAUGAAUGAUUGUUUUUCAAAACUUGCAUAACUAUUGCAUUAAAAUCACCAUUUCCUGAAUAACAAUUCUUAAUUGUCAAUCAGUGCUUGACAUCGAGAAAAAUUCUAACAAGGGGCAGUCCAAGAGGCACUUUAUCGUUGGUGCUGACACGAAUCAAAAUCAUCUCAUAAUCCUAUGGAUCAGGGGCAUGGCAUCUUCUGAUCAUAUUGACCUAAGAAGUAGUCAGCUUGAGACAAAUCUCCAAGCAUCGGUUGAUCAGGGAGGGAAAACACUUCAAUACUCAGUACGCCUGGGGCAGGUCCCUCAAAGGCUAGUCUGGGGCAAAACGAGUUGCAAGGGGGAAAAAUUCCCUUCAUAUCUUCAAGUCAGUCGAGCAGAUUGCAUCAGACAUUAAUGACUGCUUGAAGUCACAAUAAAAUGUCAAAAGUUCGUACCAGUACAACAUCAUACCUUGACAAGAAUCCUUAGGGUACGUCAAAGGCAUAAUCAUCAUGCGUUGAUCACAUCGCUAUGCUCAGUCACAGGCUGGCCAAACACUUCAGAAGAAGAACUGAGAUCUUCUCGAAGACAAGUACACAAUAUAUCAGCAAGAGAUCAAACUGGGGGCACCAAGAGCACCCACACCUAUUGCGUGUCCAUCGCACCAUCAACUACCGAGUGUCGGGAAGUCAGAUCCUUCCACCAAUCAAUAGUCCAAUCCACAUUGACAAUCACCAGAGAAACCAAAGCCCACCUCCCUGGCAUCCAUACAAAAACUAAUACAACCAACACUGGUUUCCAGAAAAUACAUUGCCUUUGAAAAGGGGGGCCAAUCCCAAACAAACCAAUCAUUCUUUGCAUUCAAACAUGCAUCACAUGCAUCACCUCAUUACAUAAACGCAUACAUAACAUUUAUGCAUAUAACACAAAUCAAAAUCCAAGGUUUAGUCAUAGGCAUCCAGGCCAACCCUCAAUCGAGUCGCUGUCACUUUCUCUGAGUGAGUUCCUACCCUACUUUUGGGCGUUCCCCAUUGGGUUACCUCCUUCAACCUUUUGUUGAUGAGACAUUAUCCUCAGCUAAAUCAAAACAUUGUUUCUCCAAACACUUACCUGGUUUCGCGUUGAGCGUCCGUCAACGAGUUGUUUCAUGUAACCUUUUGUUGACAAAAACUACAUCUCCCCAGAGAAUAUUUGUUAUGCAACCUUUUGUUGUCGAUACCCUGAGCAAAUCUUACCCAGCAAUGUAACUACAUCUCCCCAGAGAAUAUUUGUUAUGCAACCUUUUGUUGUCGAUACCCUGAGCAAAUCUUACCCAGCAAUGUUCCAACAUUACCCAACAAAUCGGGUUUACUGAACUUUGACAGUAGCCUUAUAUUUCCAAUAUUUUUCUCACUAUCAUCCUUUUGGUGAAAGUCCAUUGAGGAACAAUAUUGAUCAUCGUCCUGUUUACGAUCACCGUUAUCUUUUUGGUAAUGGUAAAUCCUUGACAUUUGUGAUCUUACUGUCAUCCUUUUGAUGUCGAAGAUCCUUGGAGUUUUGGUCCAACCUUCAUCCUUUUGGUGAAUAGGCGACCUCUACAAUUAUUACAGCCUACCGUCAUCCUUUUGGUGUUGGCGAUCCUUAUGGUGAUAAGGAUCCUUGUCAUUUUGGUUCAAUCAUCAUCCUUUUGGUGAUGACGUCCAGUUCAAUCUAAAUAUCAUCCUUUUGGUGAUAGAGACUAUGAAGUUUGGUUUAAGCUAUCAUCCUUUUGAUGAUGGUGACAUUUGGAAAGUCCAUUCCCACUGUCAUCCUUUUGGUAUCAGCAAUAUUUGAAGUUAUUAUAACUUAUUAUCAUCCUUUUGGUGGUAACAAGUUUUGAAGUUAUGAUCUCACCUUGAUCCUUUUGGUGAUGGUGAUUGUGGAUUCAUUAUCAUCCUUUUGGUGAUAACGAGUUCUGUUGUUUGUAGUACCUUCAUCCUUUUGGUGAUGGUGACUAUUGACUUAUUAUCAUCCUUUUGGUGAUAACAAGUUUUGUUGAUUGGUCUUACCUUCAUCCUUUUGGUGACGGUAACCAUUUGAGUUAUGGGCUCAUUAUCAUCCUUUUGGUGAUAACAAGUUUUGUUUUGAUCUUACCCUCAUCCUUUUGGUGAUGGCAAUCAUUGAGUCUGUUUCAGCUUAUUAUCAUCCUUUUGGUAAUAACAAGUUUUGAAGUUCUGUCCUUAUUAUCAUCCUUUUGGUGAUAACAAGUUCGGUUGGUUUGAUCUUACUGUCAUCCUUUUGGUGUUAGUGAUAUUUACAGUUCAACUUAUUAUCAUCCUUUUGGUGAUAACAAGUUCGUUGUGUGACUAUACCUUCACCCUUUUGGUGAGGGUGAUCCUUGAAAUUGAUGAGUCAACUAUCAUCCUUUUGGUGAUAGCCUUGAUACUAUACUCUCAGUAAUGGGAAACUUUAUCAGAAUAAACAUCAUCCUUUUGGUGACGAACAUCAUCCUUUUGGUAUUGGAAUUUUUUGAAUUGAUCUUACCGUCAUCCUUUUGGUGAUGGCGAUCUUUGUUAUAGCAACUGUAACCAUCAUCCUUUUGGUGAUGACUACUUUUGAAUUUUAGUUUAUCCAUCAUCCUUUUGGUGAUGACGAUCCUGACAAUCAUGGUGAAUUCCUAUCAUCCUUUUGGUGAUGGUAAUUAAUUUUACUGUCAUUCUUUUGGUUCCAGAGAACCCGUUCGGUUUCCGCUCUCACAUCAGAAACGAACUUUGCAAGACUUGAAUGUCGACUCGAGGGUUGACAUUGAUUUGACAUUCUACCCUUAUCACCUUGGUGCUGUUAGAAUCCAUUGCAUUUUCCGUCCGCAUUUCUCCAUUGCAUCCCAAAGGACAAAAUUUGAGUAUUUUCGUAUUUAAUUACCUUCCACCAUGAAUGUAUGAAGACCGUUGUCAUUCUUACUUUCUAGUUCAAGAUAAUUAAAUAGGGGCAGCUGUCAUACCCCAAUUUUGUCCGGGCAUAUUCAAAUUUGCAUAGAAAUGAUUUCAUUUUUUAUUUUUUGCAUCAUAUGCAUAGUAUGACAUACAUUGCAUCAUGAAUAAUGCCUAGAAUAUCAGUCAGGAUAAAUUUAUUGAGAAUACAGACCAAUCAGUUGAAUCAUUCCUCAAGAACAGGCAAAAUCAGCAAUGACUGUUUCGGUUAUAUUUUGACCUGUCUGAGCCUUUUAACUGGUGCAAAAUUUAUUUCAGAAUUUGAAGAAACGAUGUAUUUUUUCAAUAAGUAUAUUUGGUGCUGAUUAUUUUAGUGUGUCCGAUUUAAUUUUUCAAGUAAGUUUAUAUCCAAUUUCUAUUUUUUUAAUCAGGUCAUUUUAUUUAUUUAUUCAAAAUAUAUUGACCUUACCUUCAUCCUUUUGGUGAUGGUGAUUGUCGACUUAUUAUCGUCCUUUUGGCGAUAACAAGUUUUGUCUUUUAAUUAUACCUUCAUCCUUUUGGUGAUGGUGAUUGUUGACUUAUUAUCGUCCUUUUGGCGAUAACGAGUUUUGUUUUGAUCUUACCCUCAUCCUUUUGGUGAUGGUGAUCAAUUGCGUUGUGUGCUUAUUAUCAUCCUUUUGGUGGUAACAAGUUUAAUCGUUUGACUUUACCUUCAUCCUUUUGGUGAUGGUGAUUGUUGACUUAUUAUCAUCCUUUUGGUGAUAACAAGUUUUUGUCUUGAUCUUACCUUCAUCCUUUUGGUGAUGGUGAUCAAUUGAGUUGUGUGCUUAUUAUCAUCCUUUUUGUGCUAACAAGUUUUGUUGUUAACUUUACCUUCAUCCUUUUGGUGAUGGUGAUCGUUGACUUAUUAUCAUCCUUUUGGUGAUAACAAGUUUGUUGUGUGACUUUACCUUCAUCCUUUUGGUGAUGGUGAUCAUUGAAGUUAUUUGACUUAUUAUCAUCCUUUUGGUGAUAACAAGUAUUGUUGCUGGAUCUUACCCGCAUCCUUUUGGUGACGGUGAUCUUUGAAGUUGAUGAGUCAACUAUCAUCCUUUUGGUGAUAGCUUUAAUAUUAUACUCUCGGUAAUGGGAAACUUUAUCCGAAUAACCAUCAUCAUUUUGGUGAUGGACAUCAUCCUUUUGGUGAUGGGAAUCUUUGGAUUUUAUUGUGUCUAGCUUUCGUCCUUUUGGUGAUAGCGAGACUUAUUAUUGAUCUUACCAUCAUCCCUUUGGUGAUGGCGAUCUUUGUUGUAGCCAAAGUAACCAUCAUCCUUUUGGUGAUGACUACUUUUGAAGCUCGGUUUUAUCCAUCAUCCUUUUGGUGAUGACGAUCCUGGAAAUCAUGGUGAAUUUCCAUCAUCCUUUUGGUGAUGGAAAUUCAUUCCACUGUCAUCCUUUUGGUGCCAGAGAACAUGUACAGUUUUGUCUUUACAUUAAAAACAACCUGUGCAAGAUUUGAAUGUCGAUUCGAGCGUUGGCAUUGAUUUGGCAUUCUACCCCUAUUACCUUGGUGCUGUUAGAAUCCAUUGCAUUUUUCGUCUGCAUUUCUCCAUUGCAUCCCAAAGGACAAAAUUUGAGUCUUUUCGUAUUUAAUUACCUUCCACCACGAAUGUAUGAAGACCGUUGUCAUUCUUACUUUCUAGUUCAAGAUAAUUAAAUAGGGGCAACUGUUAUACCCCAAUUUUGUCCGGGCAUAUUUAAAUUUUCAUAGGAUUGAUUUCAUUUUUAUUUCCGCAUCAUAUGCAUAGCAUGACAUACAUUGCAUCAUGAAUAAUACCUAAAAUGUCAGUCAGAAUGAAUUUAUUGAAAAUACAGACCAAUCAGUUGAAUCAUUUCUCAAGAACAGGCAAAAUCAGCAAUGACUGUUUCGGGUAUAUCUUGACCCGCUUGAGCCUUUUAACCGAUACAAAAUUAUUUCAGAAUUUGAGGAAAGACUGUAUUUUUUUAAUAAGUAUGUUUUGUCCUGACGAUUUUAGUAUGACCGGUUUAAUUUUCCGAACAAAUUUAUACUCGAUUUCUAUUUGUAAUUAAUCAAUAAUCUUUGAUUUAGUUAUUCAAUUAAAACAAUUAAAAGUUAUUUAAAUCAAAUAUUAAUUAUAUUUUUCUUUUUAUGAUUUUAUUCUUUUUAAAUAAAUAACAAGUGUAAAAAUAAAAUAUAUUUUACAUUGAAUUCUCAUCAAUUGCUCACACACACACCACGCGUCCCUCUCACUCAUUCACUCAUCCCUCACAAAAUAACCACCCGUUUCCACGUGUCACCCCCUCUCCUCGCCACACACUACCUCACACUCUCUCUCAAAUCUGAAAAAGAUCUCACACUCAUCAUCUCUCUCCCCGACGGAUUAUCCUCACUACAUCUACCACCUAUUACCAUUCUCUCAUCUCCCUCAUCACUCACCUACAACUACUACACUCGAAUACUCUCUCAUCUGAAAAAGAUCUCACACUCAUCAUCUCUCUCCCCGACGGAUUAUCCUCACUACAUCUACCACCUAUUACCAUUCUCUCAUCUCCCUCAUCACUCACCUACAACUACUACACUCGAAUACUCUCUCAAAAAUACCUCACGCCUACCCUCUCAGCGCUGACAACUCACCUUCAUCUUCUGUCACACUCUCCGCCACCUUCACCGUAAACCCCGUACUCACCUCCACACAAACAACCGUCAUCGCUUUCACAAACCGUUGGCCACGAUUCACCAUCCUCCAUCUCUUCACCACCACCAAACCCCUUCAUCCGCCGGUAAUCCCCUCGCCGCUUCUCCAUCAAGAUCCAAUCACUGCCGGCGAAUACAACCUCCUACCCACCUCCACAAAAUCUCCACAUGCGCCGCCAUAAACCCAACUCAAAUCCACUCUCUUCCUCCUUCUUCGCUCUUCACCUCCGUCUCAUCAUCGCUUCCCUCCUUAUCAAGAACUCUUGACCCAACAGGAACCCUCGCGUCUCACCGCCACCCAAGAAACCCACUUUUCUUCAACAACCAACACCGCCACCAUCAAAAUCCCUCCGUCGUGACAUUUCUGACAAAACGUCCAACCCUUCAAAACCCAAACGAUGCUUACAACGGCUUGACAUUACAUGGAUGAUUUAUCCAGCAACGAUUACACUCGUGGCCUCGGUUGUGGUUGCAAGUUAUAGAUCCACUCGUGGAUUCUGUAAUAAGAGAGGAGUUUCGACUUUCACAGUUGUUCACCUUUCGUUGGCUCGUGAAAGUGGUUUUAGGAGGUAGCCUUUGGUCAUUUUGAUGCGGUUCUGGCUCGGAUUCAAGCAACUCGCGACCAACUAACAUCACCAAGCCAUCCGCCGAAGUCCUCAACGGUAAUAAGCAAGACAUCAUCUCAGCAAUAUAAAUCCAACAGCAUAUCAGCAAUUAAAUUCAUCGGUAUUUUGCCCCUUUUGAUUUUGGUUGGUUUUUUCUAUUUUUCGACUGUGCUUAAUUAUCAUUUUGAUAUGGUGAAAUUGUCGCUUCGAGUUUGCUGUUUUGGGUGCAUCUGCAUAUUGUUUUUAUGUUGACUAUUUUGAAAAGAGUACAUGUAUUAAUUUUCUGUCAUGAAUGUUUAGCUAGCAUAUCAGUGUUAGAGUUAUGUGAUUUUGUUAUGAACUUCCGGAUUAGAUUUCGGGUCUGUUUAAUUGCUUCUAUUAUAUCUCAUAUGAAGCAUUAUGCUGGAACUUAUUAUGCCGGAACUUGUUUGUAUAUAGAGUUUAAUCAAUAAUUAAGGAUUAGUUUAGAGUUUAAAAGGUACUAUAACGAAUCCAUGUUCAUGCUAGAGAUUCAUCAUAAGCUGCAGAUUCAUCAUAAGCUGCUAGAAGUUUCAUUUCAAAAUAGUUUGAACUAAACAUGUCUUUGAAAAAUUCAGAAUAUUUGGUUAUUACAUGAAAGUUACCCCUGUUUUUGGCAUAAUUGAGUGUCAUGACUUCAAAUGAGUGUGUGUUCGGGCCCAACCCAAUGUGAUUUAGGUUUCCAUUAACUUUUACUACCAUUUUUACUAUUAAUUCUAAUUAUAGUAUAAUGUAAAUACUACUUGAUCCUAUUGCGGUAAUUAUGUUUAAUCAGAUUUAUUUUUACGGAUUCGAUAUUCCAUGUCGUCAUGCCGCCCAAAUGCCAAUACAUCAAAAGCAUAUUUUCGCCGCGUUUGGAUUUUUCGAAUAACAUUAAUCAUUGUUAUCUCGCACAAACCGGUUUGAGCACACCGAUUCAAUUUUAAUAAAUCAAUAUUGUCACUUAUUCUCAUUUGUUUUUUAAAUAACAAUUAAUUGAACUUUUGUUUGAUUAAUUCAUUUUAUUUUAAUGAACCUGUUUAACCAAAUUCUGACGAGUUAAUAAUUGAAGGAUUUUCUUUUCCAUCAUCAUUUCAUAGUCACUUUCAAUUUUAUUUCAAUUCACCAUCUAUCCAAACCAAUUUCAAAAAGCACAAAUCAUACAAUUCUCGAUUUAACAUCGAGCCCAUUUUUAAAACACCCUUGUAAGUCGAUCGCUUUUAUGCAUCGCCAUCAACCUCACAUAGCUUACUCUUGGGCUUUCUUACAAUGAAACCUACUUGGUUAUUGAUUAAUCGAGUAGAUGAAUAAUACACUAAAUAAAAUUCGUUUCAUUCAUAAACACGAAUUCGAACCACUUUUCAAACCACUCAAUUUCAAAAGAAUUUUCUCUUUUAAACAUAAACUUGGGAUGAAAAGGAGAUAGGAAGCGUACGCUUCAAUAUUUCUCAAGCACUUGAAUAAUUGGCGUACGCCAUAUUGCUCGAGUUCUUGUCACCCGAUUAAACCUUAAUCAUACACAUUCAAAUCACAUUUUCUAAAUCAAUUUCUACAAAUUCCAAAUCCUUUUAAUUCCAUAUUUCAGAUGAUAAGAGGAUAGGAGGCGUAUGCCUCACUAUCUUUCGAUCAUUCGAAUAAUUGGCGUACGCCAUAUUGCUCGAAUUUUCGUCAUCAAUUUAAAAUGCAAUCAAAUAAAUUCAAAUCAACUCUUAGAUCAAAUCCAAUUUCAAAAUAAACUUUAACUUAAACUUCAAUAGAGAAUGGGAGGCGUACGCCUCAUCAUUCCUUGAUUAUUUGAAUAAUUGGCGUAUGCCACAUUGCUCAAAUUAUCGAUCCAAACAACCACAUUUCAAAUCAUUUCUUUUAAAUCAACUACAAAUUUCAAAUUCUAAAUUUCCGACAAUAAGUGGAUAGGAGGCGUACGCCUCACUAUCUUUCGAUUAUUCGAAUAAUUGGCGUACGCCACAUUGCUCGAAUCUUCGUCAUCAAUUUAAAACACAAUCGAAUACAACAUCUAAGGGCAUUUCUUUUUACAAUUUAAACCUCGGGUGAUAAAAGAUGGGAGGCGUUCGCCUCGCCAUCUCUCGAUUAUUUGGAUAAUUGGCGUAUGCCAUAUUGCACAAAUUAUUGACUUCCGACUAAAACACGUUAAAUAAACUUGGAUAAGGGAAUAGGUGGCGUACGCCUCAUUAUUCCUUGAAUAACCAAGUAGGAGGCGUACGCCUCACUACCGUGCAUAUUCAACAUCCGCAAACAAACUUUCAAAAAUAAUUAAAACGAAAAGGGAGUAGAAGGCGUUCGCCUUAUUAUUCCUCGAAAGAAUUGGACGAUUGGUGUACACCAUAUUGCUCAAUCUUUCGCCGUUCUUCAAAAACAUCUCAAACAAAUCAAAUCUAAUUUCUCACCCCGAGCGAUCGAAACCAAACAAAAACACCCAAACACAUCAAUUCAACUUGUCACCCCCGCGUGACCAAAACCCUUUCAAAAGAACACUGUUAAUAAUUUCUAAUGCGCACAACAAACCAGUGCUAGAGCCUCCCCCGAGAGUAGACAUGUCAGUGUUUAGCCAUUAGAACGCCGACCUACACAGUCGUUCAUCAAACAAAACACACCAAAUAUUCGUAGUGGCCCGAACUACGAAUGCUCUGAUUUCCUUAUUGCACCAUAAGGAUACAUAGGCAGGAGAUUGCUGUAUCUUCGCGAGCACACUAAUAAAAAACCUCCCAUUUCCCCCUCCUGAGGUCUUCAUCCAUAUCUAUCAUCAAUUCUAAUCACUCGAAGCAAGCAGAUAAACAGUCAAUUAACAGUCAAAUAGCAAAAUCAGACUAAGAGGUUCCCGUUGAGUACAACGGACGUAAGGGGUGCUAAUACCUUCCCCUUACGUAAUCGACUCCCGAACCCGAAUAUGGUUGCGACGACCAUUAUUCUUAUUUCUAAAGGUUUUCUCGAUAUUUUCCUAUUCCUUCAUUGGAAUGAAUAAAGUUCGGUGGCGACUCUGUUUCGAACUAACAUUUUUCCGCGUUCCAUCGCGAGGGAUCGCAUUAUCACAUUUUUGAGAUGUGACACACACUAGGAGAUCUCUUUUGUUGUUUUCAUGUGGUUUGCAAAUGUGCAGAAGUAGCUCUGGUGACGAGUUUUGUCACACCACAAAUUUAUGAACAUUAUCCUUCAGGCCUUGAACCAUAAGAUAUUUGUAUGGAUUUGAUUCUCCAUAAUAUGGCUGAUAUGGAAGAGUUUUGAAGAAUGAAAUUAAGGUUGAGAUGGAAAAGCUAAAUAGAUAAGGAUGAGCAGUAGAUGACAAACUCUGAAAAGUUGCAUUUGAGGGUUGAAUGAGCCACCAUACACAACAGGUAUUUCGUGAGACGUGUUGUUUUCUGUAGGCAUUGUCUACCAUCUCAAUACUUAUAGUAACGGAUAAAAAGAGGGAAUAUGCUUUAUUCCUUGGGAAAAAUCAAUGGAUAAUCAUAAGACCCAGGAUCCAAAGUGUGGGAGAAACCCUAGUAGCAAUGAAGGUUAUAACAGGAAUGGUGUUGAGAAUUGAAAGAAGGUUCAGACACUGAAAACACUUCAAGAAAAAUAUCUCAUAAAGAAGGAAGGAAAAUUGAACCAGAUUCUGAUGUGCCUCCCACCAUGCUAUUCAUGUAGAAUAUCACUCAGUCAGGCGUGACACAAUUCACCUCUUGUUGGUUAACGACUACAAGAAACAAAAGUGACAUUCUUGGGUUUAUACUUUCUUUUCCUUUUUUCUAGAAAUAUUAAGCUUGAGACCAUGUUUUGAUCUAUUUAUUCUGCUCACUAUGAGCUAAACUUUUUAUGUUUAGCAAUAUGAAGUUUAAUGAAAAAUAACUUUUUUGUGUGAUGUGUUGUGAUUCUAGUGAUAUAUUUUGCCAUAUGUUUUAAUGAUACAUGUUUAUUUCUUUGGUUGAUCAUCUUAGAAUAGACAAAAGUUUAUUAAUGUUGAAGAAUCCUUUGAUAACUUGAAAUCAUGACAAAUAUGGAUAACUAAAGUAAAUAUGAACAUUAUCUACUUGCUUUAGGUAUAAAUAACUAGAAGCAUAUAUAAGAAAUCAGAACUCAACAAAGACAUCCACUUAUGUUAUUUUGAGACUUAGAAAUUUGUUCCAUAGCUGUUUACAGUAUUUAUUAUGUCGUUGUAGGUAUACACUAUUAGAUAACGUUUUGGCCUCAUUUGUCAUGACAUGUUUAGUCACACUAACACACUAGGUGAAACUCAUUAAAUAGAUCCUUACUCAACAUGUUCUCAUCUCUGAUAAAUUUCCUUACCUUUAAAUUAUUAAUAUUAAUUUUGAACAUGUGACAACAACAACUAUUAUUAUUUCCUGCUCUUGACUAUUCAUAACUUUUGACUGUGAGAUCAACUUAAGUUAAUACCAUAUCCAUGGGAUCGAUACAAUUACUUUAAAAACAUGCUACCCACUUUGACUGUGUAUGCAUAUACAAAGAUUCACAACAAGUUUUUGGCGCUAUUAUUAGAGAUUGUAUCAUUAACACUUUAAUUUUCAUUAAAACUUAUUAAGAGUGCAUUUGAGCUUUUGAUGUUUUCUGUCUUCUAGAGUCACAAAAGGUGCAUGACUUCUACAUGCGCAUGUGGUUAAAUCUAGCUUACAAAGGAGACCCUGAACUAGAGAAAAUAUUCAUACUUUUGAAGUGAUACCAGAUUGCAACUCAACAACCAAGAACCCUUAUAUUGAUUCUCUUGUUUGAAGAUCUUGAAGAGGACAUUGAAGGGACACAAAAAGGACAAGAAAAAGUCAUGGAUGAAAAUGACAUCAAGACAUAACCAAUGAUAGAGCGAAAAAUAUAAGAGGCUAUGCUAAUUUUGAUCCAAAUGCCAUGAACGCUGGUACUAUCAGGCUAGAGAUAAUUGUAUCUCAAUUUGGGUUUAAGCCAAUGAUGUUUCAAAUGAUACAAGCCAUUAGCCAAUACUCAAGUGCUGCUAUUGAUGAUCCACAUAUCCAGUUGAGGCAAUUUAUGGAGGUUUCUAGCAAUUUAAAAAUCUAUGGAGUCAGAAACAACACUUUUAGGUUUAAGCUAUUUCCAUAUACUCUCUAAGGAAUAAAGUCAAAAUUUGGUUAAAUUUCUUGGAGCCAUGUUUCAUACCCACAUGGAAUGAUUUAGCAGAGAAUUUCUUAGCCAAAUAUUUUUCUCCUGUCAACAAUGUCAUGAUGAGAAAUGAAAUUACAUCAUUUCGACAAAGGGAAACAUAGUCAUUAUUUGAUGUUUGAGAGAGAUUUAAAGAAUUGUUGAAACAAUUUCCCCACCAUAGAAUACUCAUAUACAUUCAGCUUCAAACCUUCAAUAAUGGAUUAGUUCCAUCUCCAAGAAACAUGUUAGAUGCAUUUUUUGGUGGUGCAUUGUUGUCCAAGUCCUAUAAGAAAAUGUAUGAUUUGAUAGAAAACAUUACUGUCAACACUUAAUAAUGGUCACUCACUAGAGUAUCCAUAACUAUAGUCUUAAUGAAGUCAAUUGGUGUUCAUGAAGUCAUUAAGACUACAACUCUCGCUACUCAAGUGACUCAAAUUCAUCAAAUGAUAAAAAAAAAUGUGUUGAUGUCUUUUGACGUGCCAGCAACUAAACCUAUCAAGGUUGCUGAAGUUGCACGUGUUUAUCGUGAAGAGCCCAUUUGUUUGUAACUAAUGUUAAUAUCUCGAACAAACAAUGUAACAACUUCAUUUAUCUCUUUUCACUUGGGUUGUUGUUGUAAUCUCCAUUAUCAAGCUCAAGUAUUAUUCUUCCAUGUCUCAUUUACAAAAACUGUGUUAAUUUCCAUCUAGCUCAAAGUCCAUGGAUGAACAAUUUGAGACCAUUUAAAGGAUAAAUAUAGAGUUGGUUUCAAGAGACCGUAGAAGAAGAUGACCCUAUACUGAUCUAGAUGACUCCGAAUAAAAUUAGAAACACACUAUAUUCUAGGAAGCAUAAUUUAACAAACAUAAAUGUUUACAUCGUAGUUAUAUUAACUAUAUGUAUUUGGUGUGCAUAUGCAUAAUUUGUUUACUUUAUAAACAACCGAGAAGACUCAAAACAAUUAUAAAAUCUUGAAAACAUUUUCCCCUUAAAUCAUAAAAGUCACGUGUUAAAAAAAAUUUAAUUCAAAAUUUUGUAGUAGAAAAAUAUAUUUUUAAAUAAAAAAAAAUGAAAUUACAUAGGCAUCUCCUUUAAGGAUACAGAUUAGCAUUUUUUUGUUGUUAUUUUUUUUAAAGUAAACAAAGCAUGGUCGAAUAUAUUCUCUGCACAAGUAAAGCAUUAGGCAAAAAACUUCUUUAAGUAAUUUUAAUUUCUCAUGGAAACUGAGAACCAAAACCUAGAAAAUGAGUGUUUAAAAUUCUGAAAAUAUUUUUUAUAUAUUGUAGAUCAACUCUAGUUUGUUGUUAUGGAAACUGUAGAUUGAUUUUAAAGUAAGAAAAUAUGAUUUUUCUUAACAAACCCUGGAUGAAGAAAACAUGAUUAAUAUGCAAAACAUUGGUAUGUAAGAUAAUCUUCAACUUACUCCUUGUUUGUUGAGGAGAAACACAUCCAUGCAUUUAGUUGAAGCAAUAAUACAUUAAAACUUAAUGAAGGUUUUGAUGGGAUAUAUACUUAAUGGAACUCUAAUAUUUUACAAUUAUAUUUUAUUAAAAUAAAUAAAAAUCACUUUCAACUUUAUGUAAAAGCACUUUUUUAAGAAUUCUAUUUUUUCACUUCAUAUUAUCCCAUCACAUUACUUUUAAACUUAUAUUAUUUUUUAUGAGAUCUUAAAUGUACUUGAGUGGGAAUCACACAAACUUGGUCAAAUUGUCACAACUUAAGUAUUACCAACCAAAAGCAUAUUAAAAAUAAGUCAUUGAGUGUUGUUUGGAUUAUUUGUAAUUUAAGUUCAAAUGAUGACUGGUAGUAGGUGAAAAUAAACUCAUGAGGCAUGGAAGUUCAAACUCAAAUUGUUUUUGAAGUGUUGAUUUGCAUGUCAUAUAUACCUAAAGCCACCAACCUAAAUUUUGACACCAACCUAAAUUUGGACACCAACCAUUGAUUGUUACGUUUUACUACUACAAAUCUACAACUAACUCAAAAAGUCAUUUUCAUGAAACAUGUUUUUAUGACAAACCACGUAUAUAGUACAUGACAAGUUGAUAUAUUUUAAUUAAUUUUUCUUCUUGACAAGGUAUAUUUGAAUUUGAACAUUUGACCAUGAUUUCUUUUUAAAAAGUUUAAUUAGACACACAUGUGUUUUAUAUUUAGCUAUUCUUUUAUGAGUUUAAUUUUCCUACAAUUAUGUCACAUGGACUAUUUUCUUAAGUCGCGGGGCGGACUAGAAGGAAUAUAUCUAAAUAUUUUGACACUAAAGUUAAUAAGAGUUUCAUGUGAUGACUAGGUUUAAAAUGAAACAUAUUUUUAGAUGCGAUGAUGUAAGACUUAUAUAUGUAAGACUUAUAUAAGUUAAAAGAUUUGGUAUCAAGUUUGAGUUUAUCUUAAGUUCAUACCACAAUAAUGGUGAAUACAUUGCAAUCAUUUAUACAUUAUAAUUUCAAAAAGUAAUUAUGAAAAAUAAAAUAAAAAUACUAUGCCACAAUUGUAGUUAAUUUACAAUAAUAAUUUAUUUAUAUAUGGAGCAAUUUUUUUAUAAUGUUCUAUACUUAUAAACAAUUCAGGAGUAUGUGAUAUUCUUAUGCAGAUAUGAGAUAUUUAGAGAUCUUAGUAGUUUUAUAACAUUGAGAGUUUGUCUGCGACAGCGAGAGAUACUGUUUGGCGAUGUUUACGAUGGCGAGAGAUUGUCAGUUCACGUAAGGUGAGAGGCUACACUACUACAAAAAGUAUUUUUAACGUCCGAUGUGAAAUUCAUUUUACCUCGACUGCAUUACCAGGGUAACAAAGGGUGUCAUGAAAAGUAACGUUUUAUCACCUCGGUUGUUUAAACACUGAGGGGUAAAUUAAUUUGCACUUGGGUUCAAACUCCAGCAUUUAUAUUUUUAUUAUUAACAAAAUUAGUGUCUCAUACAUCUCGUUUUACAAUAAAAUCGAGGAAUAAGAUAAAUUAUUUUUUUAAAUUAAAAUUCGUUACAUUGUUUACAGAGAAAAUAAAUAAAAAUAAUUUGUUUACAAACUAAAAUGUUUACUCAGAACAUUAAAUUGUUUACACAGAAUAUUAAAAUAAAAAUUAAUUUAUCCUUGAAGAUCAUAUGUUGGAUCUUCGACUCCUUUAUAUUUGGGGAAGAUCAAAUGUUUCAUCUUGCAUCUAUUUACUUAUGUUAUAAAACAAAAAGGGUUAAAAGAAAAGGGCCAGAAAAAUAAAUGAAUUUCUACUCAAAUGAAUAUUUAAAAAUAAAAAUCUUGAACCCAGAUAAUUUUCUGCACUUGCAAUCAAUCAUAGAGAACUCUUAAUGAAAAAAGUUAAAGUGGAGGAUGUAUAUAGUUUCAAGUGUUUCAUGACGUUUUUUUUUAUCAAUUAUAGAUAUCAUAAUGCCUUUAUAAUGGAACUUUUUUAGAUUUUACGCGAAUCACUAAUGGUAAUAUCUUGAACGUUGAUAAUCAUGAAAUGGACAACAAAGAUUUGUUCAAGGAUGGUGAUCAAUUUCUAGAAUUAUCAAGUUAUCCCCUCAAUUUUGUUACAUUGUUUACACUGAAUAUUGAAAAACCAUAAUACAGCCAGACCUGGCCCUGUGCAUGUGCAACAUGUGCUGCAACACAGGGCCUCACAUUUUAUAAAGCCCCAAAAUUUGAAAAAUUUAAAUUUUUUUAUAAAUAUUAAUAAAAAUAAAUAAAAUAUUAUUAAAAAAACUCAAUAAUUGAAAAAACGUUAUGAUAAAAAUUUAAUACAUACAAAAAUUAAGAUUGAUCAAAACUCAAAAUAAUUAUAAUUAAAUUUAUUUUUAAUUAAUAUAUAAUUAUAUUUUUGAUAUAUUUUUUUAAUUAUUAUAAUUGUAUUUUUAAAAAAAUUUAAGCCUAUUUUUUAAAUUAGAACGGAGCCUCCGGUAUGAUUGGAUCGACCCUGAAUACAACAAAAGAAGAAUUUUGAUGUAAGAAGUUAUGUGUUCCAAAUAUUGCAUCCAAUUUCUAGGAGUUAUCUGGUCCAACCAUUGAAUGCAUUCAUCUUCUAGAGGAAUUAUAUGUUCCAACAUUUUGCACUUGCAAUCCAUCAUAGAGAACUUUUUCAAGCUUCUAAAUACAGCAACAACAACAACAUCAACAUCACCAUCAUUUUGUGAGACGGAUCCCAAAAGAAUGAUGCGUUCGAGUUUGGAGCAGCUACAUAUAAGUUAGGAUCAGAGUAAAAUUUGUUUAACGAGUGCUUUUAUACUAAAAUUUGAUUAUCUUAUCCCCCGAUUAUUAAGGAAAUCGACGAGAUAUAUCAUUUAGUUUACAAAAUAAUAAUAAUAAUAAUAAUAAUAAAAAGUGCCUGAAUUGUUUUCCCCCUCGGAAUUUUUGAAUAACCGAGAUAAUAAGCUGAUUGUCCCCUCGAUUUUGUUAAAAACUGAUAUAAUAUGUGGUUUCUAUUCUUAAAAAUAAAUAAAUCAUGACGCGCAUUUGAAUCAUAUUGCUAGAAUAACAAUGAUCGUCCAUAUUAAAAUAUGUAACAUAUCUUUUGAAUUUUCUAGGAGACAUUUGAGCUUCUCUGAUUGUUUCACUUCCUAUUCUCCACUUUAUUUAAACAUUAUUCAUAGUUUCAACGUCUCAUUUCUAACUCUUUGUGUCUUCAAACCUAGUUUCAAAGUUUUUUCGUUUCUUCAAAAAUGUCUUCAACAACCUUAGAUGAAAAUUAGUUUGUUCGUUAUCAAUGAAAAGUUUGUUGAUUUCGACGAUUUGAAAGACAAAGAUUUUGAUCUAAGAAAAACUAUUCCCAAACAAAAGUUUAAUGGUUACUUUGACAUUCUUCAUGGACCCAUCUACAUUAAUCUCGUUAAAGAGUUCUGGUUAAAUGUUUAUGUUGGGUCAUCUGGUCAUUAUGUUAAGUCAAUCCAGUCUUAUGUCAAAGGCUCUCUUAUCACAAUUACUCGGUCACUUAUUGCUAAGACAAUAAACUAUGAAGAGAAAUGUUGUUGUGUUGAACAUUAUAGAUUCAACAAAUUCUACUCAGAUCACCUUCACCUAAUUUAUGCUAACUACGAUAAUCUCAACAAUCCUACUACUCUACUACCAACUGGAAAAGUUUUGUAUCAACUUUUAGUGUCAAAUCUCUGUCCAAGAGAGAAACAAAUGGAAACGCUUACUUGGGAUGGCAAACAUCUCUUGUUAUUCCUUACCAAGAACAUUAGAGUUAAUUUUCAUCUUACCAUUUUUAACUUCUUAAAGAAAAUGAUAAUCAUCUCUAGGGAGGAAAUGACUUUCCUCAUAUCAUAUGGAUGGGUUUUUUCUCAACUUUUCUCUUCAUUAGAGAUAGUUAAUAGUGAUACUAUUGAAGUUGAGUGGAGUCGGAAUUUUGAAUAUGUGGAAUAAUUAUUUGUUGUCUUGUUUUUAAUUAAUGAAAUAUUUAAUUUCAUAUUAUUACCUAUUCGUUUUUAUUAAUAACAAAAAAUUUGAGAAUUACUAAUUAACAAGAAAAAAAAUGAAGAAAAAAAUUAACUAAGAAAAAAAAGAGAAUAUUUAAAGGCGCCGAGUGAGAAAUCACAGAAAAAACCCUUAAAUACACGUAAGGGUGUUCGUUGUGUGGUUUGAAUCGAUUUUGAUAUAAAAAUUCAUCCAAUCUAAUUUAUUCGCAAUUCAUUUUGAUUUGAGAUGAUUGAUUAAAAAAAUCUGAUCCGAUCCAAUUCAAUUUUAAUUGAUUUAAUUUGAAUCAAUUUUUGAAUAUUUAAAUUAUAAAUUAUAUCUUUUAUUAAGAUUAUAAAAUUACUAAUAAAUAUUAUAUUUGAUAUAAUAUAUAACAUAUAGAAUAUUAAAAAUCAAUAAUAUAAAAUAAAAAUAAUUGAUUAUAAUUGAAAUAAAUUAGAUAAUAAAAAUAAAUAAAUUAAACUAAAUUGAUAAUGAUACUAAAAAAAAUAAAAAUUAUUCCAUUUGAAUCGAUUUUAAAAAAUUAAUUAAAAUUUAAUCUGAACGCAACAGUUUUAACAAAAUGAUAUCCAAACGAAUUUAAUAAUAUUUGAUUUUUUUUGUGCUUUUCAAUUUUUUGAAUUUUAACAAAAAUGUUUAUCCACUAAGUUUUUACAUUGCAUAAUAAUAUAAUGAAAGUUGAAGAAAUUUAAGGCCAAACAAAAUCCACACACACCCUGGUAUCAAACUCCAAUGGAUUAUCAUCAAUCACCUUUUCCUCAUUUUUCGUUCCUUUUCUGUUAGCAGCAGUAGCAGCAGAUGAAGAAGAAGAACCAGAAGAAAGAGGAUAUGCAGCUAGUAGAGAUGUAGCAUCCCACUCUUGCAUCCAAAGAAGGUCUGAAAAUAAAAGUAUCAACGAAGCCAUUGCAAAUGAAUUUAGUUGUAUGAUGAAUAUGAAGAUUUGGAAAAGUUAUAUAUAGAGAGAGAGUGAAUGAAUGAAGAUGAUGUGAGUUAAGUAAAGUGGUGACAGAUUCUGUUAGCUGAAACUGCUGUUUCGUUUGCAUAUAACUAAGUAAUAAAAAAAUGAAACGGUGGUUUGUAUUCAAUUCAUUGAAUUGUUGUAGUCGCCGCCGAUUGUUUUCUAUGUCUGUUGUUUGUGACAUGUAUAUGGAAAACUUAAAACCAGGUUUUUAGAGACCAUGGUUUCUAUUUUUCCUAAUUAAUCCUCAAUUUAUGUAUAUUCAUAUCUUGUUGACUCAUGCUAACAAGUGAAACCCCCAAAAGAUAAUUAUAGUCUCAUCUUAGUUUCUAUUUAAUUUUAAAAAAAAAUUCUAUCUUUAACUUUCAUCAACUUAUAAAUAAAAUUAAAAUAAAUAAAUUAAAUUGACUUAAUUUACUUUUUUUUAGAGAUUAAAAAUAACUUCUAUUUUUGUAUGGACUAAAUUGAGUCUAGCAAAUUCUUUUAAAGAAUUAAAAUAAGUGUUGUUAAUAUAUUUUUGUCAAAUAUUUUUUUGGUGGUUUUAGCUCUGCUAAUUCCUGAUUGUUUUGAUUGAUAGUAAUUUUGGUAAAACUAAUUUAUCUGCAAUAUGUUGAAUAAGAUGUCCUAACAUGUGGUUGUGAUAUCUUAUUUGAAAUAGGUUUUUAUCUUGGUAACGUUUGUGGGGUUAACUGGCUACAAAAUAUUCUAGGAAUAUUAUACUUUCCCUUGUGACGUUCGUGGUUAAUAGAUUCUAUUUCCUAAAUGUUAAGACAUUUUAGGAAACUUUUGAUGGAUUACCUAAUGUUGUGCAACUGGUGCUCGUGGAAUACAAGGCUCAAAUCCAAUGCAUUUUAUGGCUAUAAAUAGAAUGUCUCAAAACCUAAUUACUCACGCAGAAGAGAAGAUAGUUGACCGUAUUAGGGUUUGUGUAAUUCGUGAGCCUCUCAAAUAUCAUCAUGAUAUAUGAGUAGGACUACGUUGAUUGGUUGUAAGCAUUGGCAAGCACUCAUAAGCUUUUAAGCAUUGAGUGAUUGUGUGCCCUUGAAGUGUGACUUCUGAAUUUCUUGUAAGUGUUUAAUUAUCACUGCUGUAAUUGAUAGGGAGGUGAGAAGGGUCUCACACCUAGGAGAGUCUUAGGUAAAAGUUAAGCACAGGUAGUGAUUAGGGUGUUAAUUGUAAAUUAGAGAUAGUUUGCAGAAAACCUAUAAACUAAUACUAUUUAGUGAAUUUCCUCCUUGACUUGGUAGCCCUCAGAUGUAAGUGUUGUUGACACCGAACUGGGUUAACAACUUUGUGUGUUCUGUUAUUUUAUGUUCCUCUAUAUGUAAGUUGUCAUAUUAUUGUUCAGAUAUCAAUGUCUUGACAUCUCAUAGAACAUCUGAUAUUUGCAUACCAGAAAUUCAAGCUCAAAGUUUUUCGCUGCUACAGAAGGAUGAACAAUACUCGAAUGUGGUUCUUCAUUUUAGGGUACAUCAUAUUCUUUAAGUGGGAGAUUUUCCGCCGCCAUUGCUAAUUGUUGUUAUCAGCAUCUUUCAUGGAAAUAAAGCUCAAUUUCGUUAAUGGGUUCAGCGAGGUUCCCUUGACUUCGGGUUCUUCGCAUACAACUGAAAACGAGAUAGAUUUAGAAAAUAACAAAGAUAGAAAAUUGGUUCAUUCUAAAAGGUGAAAUAAUAUAAUAAUGAUAUAGAAAAAUUGGUCGCCGACAACUGCGCCAAAAAUUUGGUAAGUCGCAAGCGUGCUUAAAUAUCAAAGUAGUUAUAUAGAGUUAUCGUCCUCAGAGACCAAUAAUCAAGUAUUGUUUUCUAUCAUAACGAUGUUCAUCUAAGACUAUAUAAUAAUUAGUUUGUUUGUGCGAAAAAGGUAAACAUAUUUGAUUUUUAAUAAUAAAAAUAAGAGUCCAAAACUAUGACUUUUAUCAUCCAAUUUCUCUCAUACAAAUUAUCGUAUUGAUUGUAACGAGUUGUGGUUUUUUUUAGAGAAUACUAAAACUAGCACCCACUUUCAUCUGUGCAUCACCAGACUCUAAACUCGCAAUCAAUCUACUUUCGCAACAUGAUUUGCAAGUUUAAAGAUCCUUUAUAAAAUAAAAUUAAUUUUUUAAUUAGCUUAGAGAUGCUUUCAUAAUCUCAAAACCAAUUGCUCGAAUUUCUAAGUCCAAUAUCAUUUAUGCCUUUUCGACGUAUAAACAAUAUCAUUACGUUCCUACUUUCGUAGUGAACAACUUUAAUUUAAAAAUAAAAAUUACAAAAUAAAAUAUAUAUUAUUGUUAUGAUUGAUAUUUAUACAAUUUGCAUGAGGUCUUUCGGUACAGCAGUCCUCGUACUUAUACCAUAAAUUAAACUACUCAGACAUGCCCAUUGAAAACAUGACAUAGACAUACAAAGAAUGCAUUGUAAAAGCGGUAAAAUAAAACCUGAAAUGCAAUGAAUAUAUUUAAAAAUAAGAAUGCUGCAAGAGAAUUUAAAUUCAAAUACAACAACAAAUAAAAUUCAGCGCAACAAAAUAGCAACAAUGAAAAUAAAGAAAAACUUGAAAACUUGCAUAAACUAUUAAAUUUAAAGGUAAUUUUAGUACAAAAAUGCUUGGGUCCUUUUCCCCUAAUAUUACGGUCGAUUUAUAAGCAUAUUUAGACACUAAAUAACUGUUAAGUGCCCUAAUGGACGAGUAAAACUACAAUAAAGUCAGAGGAAAAAUAAUCGAAAAUAAGAAAACGAAGAAUCAAAAAUUGAAAUUUGGGGAGAUGACAAGCAUCAUGGCUAAUGGCAUGUUGUCCGUAAUCUCUUCCGUGAGAUGUUUUUAAAUUCUUGGUAAACCUCUCAUUUCAGUGUUUGAAAUUAUAGAUUGUGUGCCUAAAAUUGACCCUGAUGAAAACUCCACAUUAAAGCCACCCAAUGUAUAUGGAAGUAUUGAGUUGAAAAAUGUUGAUUUUUGUUAUCCUACUUGGCUAAAAUUACUUGCAUUAAGCAAUUUCAAUCUCAAAAUCAGCGGGGGCAAACAAUUGGAGUUAUGGGAGUUUUAGAGUCUGAAAAUUAUAGCACUAUAGUAUCUUUGAUGGAGAGAUAUCAUCAUCUAGUUACUGGCCAAGUUUUAUUGGAAGGGAUGUAUUUAAAAUUGUAUAAUCUAAAAGAUUAGAAGCCACUUUAGUUCGGCUCGAUAGGAAUCAAUUAUCUUCUUAACUACCAUAAGGGAAAACAUCAUAUACACCAGACAUAAAGUCGUGAAAUUGAAAUUAAAGAGGUCGCGAGAAUAGAAAUCGUUAGGAUAGUGUUGAAAAAUGCACAUGUGUGAAAUUUUUUAAAUAUUAGAAGGAGAUUCGUGUAAGAGAAGAAUGAGAUGGAUGAAAUUUGGGCUAGCACUCCAUAUUAAUAGAUAUUACUAUAAAUUAUGUAUAUUUAGGUGCGUCUGAAAAUAUAUUUUGUAAUUCAAAAAAGAAUUUUUGAAUUUUUGAAUUUUCAUACUAUAUUUUUCCACCACUUGGGUGGGAGAAGUAAUCCCCAUAUCUUAUAGUAUGAAAAAAUUAUUGUCAAAUAGAAAAACUAAAAAGAUAUAGAAACUUGAGGCUAGUUUACUUUAGACUGAGAAGUUCCAAUAAAGUUAGUUAGCCCAAAGAAACUCACGUGGCCCUCACAUAUAUAGCCCAAUUUGUUAUAAACAGGCCUUUGCAAUUGGCUUUUUCAAUAAUAGUUUUUUAAAAUCUAUUCAAAUUUUAGUUUUUUGAAAUUUAUGAAUUAUUAAAAACAAAAAGGCUAAACCAUCUUUAAUUUUUUUCAUCUAAAUAUUCUUAACGAGAUCAACUUAUAUCGAUGUUGUAUCAUUCAUUUUUGUGAAUUAUUUAGCUAUGAUAAAUUUGAUCACAAAACUAAAUUUUUGGAUUUAGAUUGUCAUCAAUUAUCAUCUUCUUCUUCAUUAAAUCUGUCCUGUCCUCAUAAGCAGAGCUUUGGAAUGGAAGAAUUGCUACGUUGGGUUUGAUUUUAUGAAUUUUACAGAGUUUGUUAAGGGUACUCCUUUGUGUAAUAGAUUUCUAUAGGGACACAAUUAAGAUUUAAGUCAUAGAAUUUGUACUUACAAUUUGUUUAUGUAGUUUCAUAAAGAAUAAUUUUAUCAUUAAUCUAAAGCUAUUUUCUUGAUAUUUUUCCUAUCUUAAUAAUCCUCCUGUUUAUUGAUAUGUAUUUGUGUAAAUAUUGAGGUGUAAAUUUAUAUUUUGCUUUCAUGUUAUAUUUUUAUUUUUGGAAACAUUUAAAAGAUUGUAAGAAAAAUUGGAUUUAUAAGUUUUUAGGAAUUCAUUGUGAUCUUUGUGUGUUGGACAAAUGUUCAAUGAAAUGAAUAUUGUUAUGAAUUGUGCUUAUAAAUCUAAUAACUUUUUUCAAAAUUUUAAAUAAUUAAUUUUUAAAACUAUUAAUUAAAACAAUUAAUUAUUAAUCUAUUCUAUAAAAAAAUAUUAAUUAAUAAAGUAUUUUAGUCAUCGACAUAUCAUUGAAAAUUGUUUUUUAUCGCAAUCAUCAAUGUCACGUAUGCAAAAGUGAAGGGGAACCACAAAAAUCCAUUGACGGUCAAAAUUAAGGGAUCUGAAUUGCUGGUUUUGUAAUAGGGGAAUCAAUUGUUUAAAACGCCCAAAAUUAUGGGGACCAAAAGUGCAUUUAAGUCUUUUAAAUUUUAAAUAUGCAUUUUCAUCAUAUGUGGCCGACUAAAUUUGUGUUCAAUUAUGCAUCAUCAUCUUCUGCGACGGACUUAGUGAUCGACAUCUAAUUUCUAACUAUAUGCGACGAAUUUAUCGAUAAAUUUCAAAGUUUAAGCUAUGCAUUUUUAUCUUUAUCUUAUGCGACCGAUUUUGCAACCACUUUGGAUUUAAGCUAUGCAUUUUCUUCCUCUUCAUCGUGACGAAAUCAGAGAUAUGAUAUGCUUCUUCAUCUUAGCGACCGAUUUUGAGAUAUGUUUUGAUGGCAUGCACGGUAAUAAAAUUAACAACUUUGAUUAAUAUAAUUGAUGAAAAAAAUUAAUAUCAUCCAUUUUAACUAUUUAAAAGUCCAAUAUAAAAUUCUUAAAAAAAUAAGAAUCAAAUUGAACCUCGAUAAAUAGAUUAAACGAUUAUUUAACCGAACAAAAAUAUGUUCAAGAAUCAGAAAUUUGAGUUUUUCAAAAUAAUUUAGAACAAAGAAUAAUUUAGAAUUUUUCAUAAUGAUUGUGGAAAUAUAAUGAUAGAUUACUUGGAUAUACAAAAUAUGAAUCUAACAUUUGCCUAUGACCAAUGUGUAAAUGAUCUAGUAAUUUUGCAUCCACAAUGAAUUUUAAGUUAUUGAAAAUCUAAAUUAAACCAAAAUUGGCAUGUUAACUUUAUUUUAGAAAUGAUAUUCUUACCUUAAAUAUUUAUAUUGUAUGCAAUCGGUGAAAUAUUAUAAUAAUAAAUAUAUUUAAAAAAUAUAUAAAUUAUUUUUUAUUUUUUUAAUUAAAUGGUAUAGAUAUAAAAUUGUGUGAUUCACUACAAGAAAAUCUAUUUUUAGGGGUAAACCUCUCACUAAUGCAAAAACACCUUCACAAAACAAAAAUUUGUGAGGGAAAAUGUCCCCUAACUAAACUAAACUGGACAUCACAAAUUAUUUGUUAGGGAGUAAACCCCUAGUAAAAUGUCAUCAAAAAAAUUUAGCCUACUGCACUGCAGGCGUAUGAGCAAACUGGUCGCAGAAACGUGUUAGUAUUUUGCUAGGGGAUAAGCCCCUAGCAAACACAUCUAUGUUUUGCUUUUUGUGAAGUGUGUCUGACAUUAAUGAGAGGAUAACCCCCUCGCAAAUGAUUUUAUGCUUUAUUUUUUGUGAGGGGCAUAUCCCCUAGCGCAGUAUGUCAGACAUUAGUGAGGGGUUUAACCUCUAACAAACGCAUAUACAUUUUAGAAUUUAUGAGGGUAUUAACCCCUCGCAAGUUGCUAAUUAUUUGUGGGGACUAACCCCUAGCUAAUGUUUACAAUAUUAUAUAAAAAAUGUUAUAAUUAUAUUAUAAUAAAUAUAAUAAUACCAUUAUAAUAAAUAAAUAUAUUUUUUUAAAUUUUGUAAAAUAAAAUUAAAAAAUAAAACAAUUUAUCAUUAGAAGUGAAAUAAAAAAAAAUUAUAUCCAUAUCCACCAAAAUUAAAAUAAUUCAUGAUUAAAGAUGAAAUAAAAAUAAAAUUUAAAAAUACAUAUUAAAAAUUUCAUAUUUCAACAAAUUUAAUCUUCUUUCUCAUCCUCCUCAUCUCAUCCUUUUCAUAUGUGAGGCCGUAAAUUGUUCACAACUCUGUGCGCGCUCAUUUGCAAUCUGCAUUGCUUCCUCGUAUUUUGUUGUUUUCCUCCUCAAUUCUUCCUCCAUCUCUGCUUGUCUUCUCCUCAUUUCUUCUAUUUUUGCAUUUCUUGUUGUUGCUUUGCGUGGUGCCUGGGUAUGCCCAAAUUUCUCAUAAUUUCUAGCAUAUCAACGGUUAAUAUAGGUGGAUGUGAUGUUCCUUCUCCAUCAGCAAGUCUUAUUCUAAAUAUCAUAUCACGCCGCUUGAUUGUUUUGGCAAUACCCUUUAGUACCAUACACUCUCCCAUUUUUCCUCUUCCCACGAGCAACAUUAUAUCAUGUCCGAAAAUCCAUACUAGGAUCAGUAGGAUAUCCCAGUGGCGGUGGAGGUAACUCAGGAUGCUCUGAUAUAGUAAGGGUAAGUUGUCUAUCAUACCCCUUCUAUAAAAAUAAAUAAAUUAGAUGUUAUCAUAAUUUAAAUAAGUUAGGUACAUAAAAGAAAUAAAUAAAAUGACUAAAUAUAAAUAAAUAAAUAAACUUAAUUGAGUAUUUUUUUAGUAUUCAUCGACAAACUCCCCAUUUUUCUUGAUAUGAGUCUCUAGAUGGAUCUCAUUAAGAAGCGGAUCUCUACCAAACUCGUCACACUAAUUAAUUGAAAUAAUAAGUAAAAAAAUAGUUAGUUUUAAUCUAAAUUUUAAAUAAAAUUUAAGUAAAACAUAAAUAAAUUUAUCAUCUUUCGUGCAAUUUCAGCAACACUAAUAAUGUACGUUGCGUAGUUGCAGCCAUCAACUUCCAAUGGACAAUAAGUUGUUGAAAUACAUCUUCUCCUAUCCAGCAGAGACGUGUUUCUUUCCUUUUCCAAUUAAUUCUAACACGCCUAAGCGUGUCGGAUAAUCGGGCAACACACUUCAAGUCUAAAUUUUCUUUAAUUUAGUACUGAUCUCUAAUAUGUUCCAACAAUAUUUUUCCUACAUUGUUUUAUGAAUUUAAAAAAUAUUAAUUAAAGUAUAAGUCGUUUUUGACUUUUCAUACGUAUUAAGAAAUGUAAUAAUUGUGGUAUAAAAAAGAGAAAUUAUGAAAGGUUUUACAAAAUUGUCUUUCAUUAAUGGUAUUGGAAAAUAUUUAAGGGUAUAAUAAAAAAAAUAACAUUAAUGAUUCAUUGAUAUCAUAAAACGACUUAUAUUGUGGUACAAAAUAUUUUUCCAAAUCGACUUAUAAUAAAAGAAGGCGGUAGUAAAUAUAAAGGACAAAAUAUUAUAUUUGAAAUAUAAUUUAUUUUCGAAAUAGAAACAAUAUUAUUUCAAAAUAUAUUUUCAAAAUAAAAUAAAAAGUAUACUAUUUUUAUUAUAUAAUUUAUACUAUUUUCAAAAUAUAAUUUAUUUUUUAAAUAAAAAAAUUAUUAUUUUAAAAUAUUUUAUGCUAUUAUUUUUGAAAUAAAAUAAUAUUUUUAUCAUGUUUUUUUAUUUUGUCUAAAAUAAAUUAUAUUAUCUAUUUUUAAUUCAGAUUUUUUUAUAUAAUUAUAUAUUUCUAUUUAAAAAAAAACUAUUUCUCCCUAUUUAAACAAAAAAUAAUUAAACACAUACAAAUUGAAUAUUAAACAACACCUAACAUCAAUAAAUAUAAGUAUAAAAUUUACACCUAAAUUUUUUUACAGUAAAUAUAAGUAAAAAAUAGAGAAAAAUAUGUACCUUGGAUAAACAAAAUUUACAGUAAACUUUUAACUUUCAAUCUGCCAAAUUUGAUAUCUUUAGAUAAUGAAAUUGGUAUAUAAAAACAAAAAAUAAAAGAUAAUAACAAUCAUUAAAUAUUUAAUAUAAACUAAAAAAUAAAAAUUAAACAAAAAACAAGUAUAAGUCAAUAAAAUAUUUACCUUUAAUAAGUUGAAAUUUUGAAGACGAGAGGAAGAGAAAUAUUAGCGAAUGAAAGUUAGAGGAAGAAGAGAAAUGAAAAAAUAUCAGAUGAGAACAAAAAGGAGAGUUGAGAGAGAAAUGACUGAAGCUGCGAAAGGGCUCCCCACGCUACUAUACAGACAGAUUUAGCUGGGGAAACCUCUCUCAAAAUCACCUAACACUAAUUAAAGUUUUUAACUGUACUGGCACGUGAAGGCAGUGAUGGGACUUGGCUAAGUGAAUUUUGUUGGCUACGGUAGGAGGAGGGGCGGUUGGUGUUGAAUGAUUGUUGGGUGUUCUGGCUUAUGCGACUUUGGUAGGGUGAUGGGGUGGGUGCGAAGCGAUGUUGAGUCUUAGGUUGAUGGUCAAUUUGUUGGUGGUGGUAUGGGGUAUGCUCUUGGUAUUGGGGUUGGAUGUAUGGAAUGUUUUGGUUGUAUGUUUGUGUGUUGGUUGAACAGAACGUUUGACAGACAGGGGGUUGUGUGUAUCCGGUCUGACACUGUUGUUGGGGGUUUGAUGUUGAGGUGUCAGGUGUGUAAGUCAUCUGGAAUGGGUCGUACAAGUACAUAUCCUCGGCGAUGAACUGAAAACCAACCGAUCUCUACCAAGCCAUAUAAGUACGAAUUGGUUUUUCUUCAGUUGGCAUGACUGCGUUAGUUAACACAUGGUCACGACGGUGCUUCCAUUUGCGACACUCCGAUCUUGCGAAGCUUUGCCAUGGAUUGAGGUUCCAUUGGUCGUUAACUUUGCGCAAAUGCCAUUCUCCUAGGCUAGCUGGGGGAUCUGAGAUAUUUUGGGGCAUACCGAACUGCAGCUUCACACGAUCACUGUUGUGCAUCUCCACAGUUGUGAACCGUAUUAUCGGUGUGCAUGCAGUCCAUACGGCUGCAUCUUCAGCGUUGACUUGAUGGUCAUGAUCCAUAUUAAGGUAUGGACGCCAAAUAAACUGAAAUGUAAAAGAAGAUUGGAUUAUAGUCAAGGUAGAAGAAGUUAACAAAAUAUAACGAAAUAAUUAAGUUAUUUUCCUUACGUCUGUCGGUCGAAGGUGAUUCCAACAGAGUUGCGAUACUGGUAGUAAUACAGUGUCUUAGACAUCUGUUGUAACUCAUACCACGUGCAGACCAUCUACACGAAAAAGUCAAAAAAUAUUAGUAAAGGUAAUAAUCUUAAGAAGUAAGUAAAGAUAUAGCAAUUUAAAACAACUUACUUUUGUGCAUACGGAAAUGUGAAAGGGUUGUGUUGGACGGGUGCUAGGGACGGUAGUCUUGACCAACCCCAUGCUUGUAGCAAAACACAGCACAUCCAGAAAAUAUAGAUGUGUCUUUGUGUGAUGUUUUUGCCACAAGAAGCUAUAGAGAUAGGCUAGACAAGCAGAUCCCCAACUGUAACUUCCAUUCUAUCUACAUGUCUAAGUAAAGGUAAUCAUAAUAUGCAUGCUAGAACCACUACCUUCGGGAAAUAAAAACGACGCAAUUACAGCAUAAUGUAACACCUAUUUUUAUUAUUGAGCAUCUUCGGUAGAAUGCUCAUUCUAAGUAUAAACUAUUAUAGUACGACUUAAGGGUGAAAGUAGUAUACCUGACCUCUUGCGUUUCAUCUAACAAAUCAGUCUCAAGCAGAUCCAUGCAAUUGAAUUCGCAUAGUUGGUUUACCAUUAACAGCCUUACCUUCAUGGGUAGUCUCAAAAGCAUGUAGACGUCUUCUAACGUCACGGUACACUCACCGUUGGGAACCAAAAUGUGUGUGUCUCUCGUCUCCAUCUUUCACAUAAAGCUAGAAUGAAUUGUUAUCUACGCGACCAAGACAAAAUCUUUGUUUAUAUGACCAAAACCGGUGGGUUCAACAUAAGGUUGAAUCAUCGGGUCCAUAUGGGACAUAUUCGUGGACCGGGAGUUCGGACCUUGAUACAUUCCCUAUGAAAAGAAGAACAAAAACCUUGGCCUAAAGUUGGUAUGUUAAAUAAAAGGGGGUUGUUAGAAGCAUGAAAGAUAAAAAGUUAACAAAAGAAAAAACUUACAUAUUGUUGCCGAUGUUUGCAACCGUUCCUCUAUGUGAUUCGCUCUUGUGAGGAUAGCUUUUGUCGCAGGGGUGGUGUAGAGAAAUACAAACUUUGCAGAGCAAAGUAUGAGAUGAAAGUAUGAGAAGAAAGUAGUGAAUGAUGGUUGGUAAGAGUGUUGAUGGGAUGCAAUGUAUUUAUAGCGAAAAUGGAUCGGAGCAUGAAAAGUUGUCCGCUCUUGCAUGGCGGCGGUUGUCUCCACUUGAAUUGCGAUCAUGUACAACCUUUAGAGGGGUCGCCAUUAAACUAUGGCGCCUCCAUAGGACAUGCAAUGCAAGACCUAGUCUUGAUCUGCUUGUUCUCGAGUGUUCGAUGGCAUGCUUUGACAAUGGCUGUCUCCACUUGAAAUUGGCGCCCAUGUGAAGGGAAUGCAUGUGCGGGCGCCAAUUCAUUUGAAGUUGGUGUCUAGCCUAUGUUCGACACGUGGUUGUCCUCUCUCUUGCAUUUGAAUUGUCAUUCUUAGUUGCUCUGCAUUCGUUGACACAUCAUUUCGCGAGUAGCUUGCAUGUGUCGACAACGCUCACUUCGGAGUAGCUUGCAUGUGCGACACGUCACUUCGAACUAGCUAGCAUGUGACAGACACUUCACUCCUCUAUUUUUAGGUCUUACUAUCAACAUCCAAGACACUUCACACACAUUCAUCUGCAGUUAAGAAAAAUAGUUUUCAUUGCACAAUGUCAUCUUCAUCAUUAAUUACAGCUGUCACGUUUCAACUGCAACGAUGAAAAACAUACGAGUCUGAGCUUAUGGUUUUUCUGUUUUCGAAAACACCGAUACCAUUAGACUCACGAUCAAGAGAAAUGCAACCUUCUUGCAUUUGAAAAAAAGAAUACAAUCCUGUAUAGGAUCGGGUAUUGUGUCAAAGAUCACAUAUCAAAAUCCAAUAUUUUUUAGAAUAGUCAGUGCAAGUAUUUCCCCCUUAAGGUACGAGACGAUGAAGAUGUUGAAUACAUGUUUGUUAGUCAUGAACAUUCAGGCUGCAACUGUAUUGAGUUAUACAUUACUCUUCAACCAUGUAUACCAUCUUAACAGUCUCAACUAACCAGUCAGGAUGAAUCUGGUGAAUUUGAUCCACAAUGGUCAGAUGACGUCAACCCAGAAGCAGAAGCAGAAGUGGCGUCGUUGAUGAAGAAGAAGAGGAGACCGAGAUACAGGUUGAUCACAUGCUGAACAACGACGAUGAAGAUGAUGAUCAACCACCACUAAUACCUCCUAGUCAUGUCUACAAGCCGCCUUAACAUAUGACAAAUAUGGAUCUGCACGACGAUGAAACAUCCAACAGUGUUUUCUAUAAUCCGUAUCCGACAUCAGAAGGCGAAUUAAAGGUGGGAGAUAUGUUUCGUACCAAAGAAGAAUGUGUUCUGGCUAUCAAAAAAUUCCAUAUGAACAACUCUGCUGAUUUUACAGUGAAACGCACUGAUUCUAGAAGGUAUAUUAUCGAAUGUCGUAACAUGCUUUGUAAGUUUCGUUUGACUGCGUCUUACAAGAAGAAAAACGACUCUUGGGAGAUCGCUUCAAUAGACCCACCUCACAGUUGCAUUGCAACUAACGAUGAAAAAGAUCACCGUAAACUAAGUGCAGCGUUGAUAUGUCAAGACAUUCUACCGUUGGUUAAUAAAGACCCAUCAGUGAUGGUGAGUAUAAUCAUAUUCCAUAUCAGAACAACAUAUAAUUAUAAUCCAUCUUACAAUAAAGCCUGGAUUGCGAGGACAAAGGUUGUUGAACAAGUUUUCGGAAACUGGGAGGAUUCAUACAAGGAAUUGCCAUGGUUUUUAUGGGCACUAAAAAAAUAUGUCCCAAGAAUUGUGGCAAUUAUGGAGACAUUGCCAGCGAUGAUGCCAGACGGAACCUGUGCUAUAGGUAAUAGAAUCUUUCACCGUCUCUUUUGGGCAUUUGACCCGUGCAUCAAAGGUUUCGUAUUCUGCAAACCUAUUAUUCAAAUUGAUGGCACUUGGUUAUACGAAAAAUACAAGGGUACUUUGCUCAUGGCGGUUGCACAAGACGACAACAAUAAUGUCUUUCCCAUUGCCUUUGCUCUUGUUGAAGGUGAAACGACUGGUGGAUGGGGUUUCUUUCUUCGACAUCUCAGAACGCAUGUGGCUCCACAAGCCAAUCUCUGUUUGAUUUCUGAUAGACAUGACUCUUGUUGAAGGUGAAACGACUGGUGGAUGGGGUUUCUUUCUUCGACAUCUCAGAACGCAUGUGGCUCCACAAGCCAAUCUCUGUUUGAUUUCUGAUAGACAUGUUGCCAUUGAGAGUGCCUACAAUAACCAUGACAACGGAUGGCAUGAUCCUCCUUCUACCUAUGUCUAUUGCAUCAGACACAUUGCACAAAACUUCAUGUGUGCUAUAAAAGAUAAGAAUCUUCGCAAGAAGGUGGUGAAUGAUGGGUAUGCUCUAACUCAGCCGUCAUUUCAAUAUUAUCGUGAUGAAAUUAGACUGUCUAAUGAAGACGCAGGGAGAUGGCUAAAUAACAUAUCAGUAGAGCAGUGGAAAAGGGCAUUUGACAGAGGUUGUUGAUGGGGCCACAUGACAACAAACCUUGUGGAAUGCAUGAACGGGGUAUUCAAAGGAAUUCGAAAUCUGCCGAUAACCGCCUUGGUAAGAUCAACCUAGUAUAGGUUGGCUUCUACGUUCGCAACCAGAGGUGAAAGAUGGAGUGUUGUGUUAAUGUCCGGGCAAGUAUUCAGUGAGUGUUGCAUGAAGGUCAUGAAAGAGGAGAGCAUCAAAGCUAGCACACACGCUGUAAUAGUCUUUGACCGUCAUAGGCAAAAUUUCAGCGUCUAGGAAACAAUGGACCACAACGAGGGGAGACCAAAUUUAGCCUACGCUGUUAGACUAAACAGAAGUUGGUGCGAUUGUGGAAAAUUCCAGGACUUCUGCAUACCUUGCUCCCAUGUCAUUGCAGCAUGCGCUUAUACUCGUCAAGAUGCUUAUAGCCACUUAUCUGAUGUGUACAAGGCCGACACCGUCAUGAAUGUAUAUAAUCAAAGCUUCUCGGUACUACCAAUGGAGGAUUAUUGGCCUCCAUAUGAAGGUGAUAUUGUUUGGCACAAUGACGAGAUGCGUAGAAAGAAAAAAGGAAGGCCAAACAGCACACGUAUCAGAACAGAGAUGGAUUCCACGGAUAAAAUUAUAAGAUUAUGUAAUAUCUGUUGUCAACCAGGAAACAACAAGAACAAUUGUCCCAAUCGAGGAACAUCAUCUAGGUCUUAAGCUUUUUGUAACAUUGUAUUUCUGUAACCUUCAAUCAUUAUAUAUCAUUAAGUUUUUGUUACAACGAGGUUCACAACAAACAUCAGUACAAAAUAAGCUAUCUGAAAACAGAAAUAUUUCUAACUGAUUACAAUAAUCAAAUUGAUGUUGUCUUGACCGAACAUCAUUUCCCUAACAUCCUUAUCAGUCUUCAUUCGCACCCAACCAAAGAUACUGUCAAGUCUCUCAAUACUUCUAAUUUUUUCCCCUUCUGGUAUUUUCCCAUCUAACCAACGAACCAACUCCCUCUUCAGUUGAUCGAACGUAGUGAUGUUUCAGAACAACAUCAACAUCUGAGGUUUGUCUCUCGCAUAAAUCACCUUACCGUAUCGGCGACGAACACUAAACAUGAUUGCCAAAUGACUAUUUGAGAUGUGGAACAAUUACUCACACAACGCAUCUAUUUAUAACACAAAAAUUGCAUUUUACACUGAGGCUCCAAUUGAAUUGGCGUCUCCUCUUAAAUCCUACACAGGGGCGUCAAUCCAAUUGGCUAGGGCACCUGCCCUAGCCAAUCCAAUUGACGUCUCCAUUCAAUUUUUAAGAGGAGACUCCGAUUCAAUUGACGACUCCUCCUAAAAGUGGGAUAGUUUGAGAAUUUUUUUAAAACCAGGGGUAUUUUGGGAAUUUCCUUUAAAAAGUGGAUUAUUUUUAUAAAAAUUUCGUAAUUCUAAAUUUCAAAAUUUAAAAUCCUGUGCAUUUAGUGAUGGAUGAUUCCUUUAACAAAUUCCCCUAACGAAACAAACUUUUUCUUAUAGUGAUUAAUCUCCUUUAUAAUUUUAUUAAUUAAUAUUUUAGAUUUUAUUAAUCUAUUUUAUUUUAAUUAAAAAUUAUUUUUUAUAUCUACCCCUUUAUUAAUCAACAUCAUAUUUUAUUAAUUAAUUUUUUUAUUUUUUAUUAAUCAACUUUAUAUUUUUAUUAAAAAAAAAUAAUAUCAGAGUGGUUAUUAAUCAAUUUUAUAAUUUUAUUAACCAAAUUUUUAUAUUUUAUUAAUUUUUAUUUCACUAUUAAAAAUCAUUGUUCAUGUUGGUGUACCGAUUUUAUAUUUGGUGUAAAUAUUGAGUUCAAAUUUAUAUGAAAACUUUACUAAAAUUAACUAACAUGUCCAAUAACUUAUUUGAUAAUCCAAUGGAAUGUAGCAAAAGGAAGAUGAUAAUGAUUAAGGAAUACAAAUAUCAUACUGUAAUAUUUCAUAAAGAAAAAGUAAAAAAAUCAAGGUUGACUCUUUUAUAUGAAAGUAGAUAUUACUGAGAUUUACAACACUUACACAGACCACAUAUGAUCAUUUGCUAAAAAUUUCAUCUCCUAAUAAUAAAUUUGAAAAAUAAAAUUAAACAUAAUGAUAUGAAGAGUAAUAGUUUAGACACUAAGUUUUUAAUUACAAUAUAUUAGUAAUGAAAGUUGAAGAAGUUUAAGGCCAAACAAAAUCCACGCAUACCCUGGAUUCAAAUUCCAAUGGAUUAUUCUCAAUCACAGUUUCCUCAUCUUUCAAAGUUUUUCUCUGAGCAGCAGGAGUCGAUGAAGAAGAAAGAGAAGAUGGAGGAUAUGUGGCUAAUAGAGCUGUAGCAUCCCACUCUUGCAUCCAAAGAAGGUCUGAAAAUAAAAGUAUCAACGAAGCCAUUGCAAAUCAAUUUCCAGAUUAAUUGUAUGAUGAUGAAUUUGAAGUUGAUGGUUAAUAUGAAAAUUCUCAAAGUUAUAUAUAAUUGAAAUGAGUUGAGUAAAGUGGUCAUAGAUUAUGACUUUUCUGUUUGCUGGUACUGCUGUUUAUUGUUGCGGUCGCCGCUGUUUUUUUCCUAUGCAUGUUGUCGCCAUCUGUAUUGUUUAGGGAUAUUGAAAACCACUUAUAGGACCGUGGUUUCUAUUUUGCCUAACCAAUCCCUUAUUAAUUUUAUAUUACGGCACACCCAAUAAAUCUAAAGAUUAUUUUAAGGAAAAAAUUUUAAAUUGAAAAUUUCUAAAAUAUACUUUAUAUUACUUUUUUUUCUAAGAAAAGUUUAAAAGAAUUUUUUAAAUAAAAAGAAUAAACUUUUUGAUAAUUUCUCAUCAAAAUUAUUUUAAAUGUUUUAUCCUUAUACUCUUUUUUCUUAUGUUAUUUUGUUGAAUAACUCGGGUCUACAACGUUGAUAUCGAACUAAUGGAGAUUGCAUGAUUGUGGGCGUCUUGAUAAUCUGGUAUGAUGUCGGGGUGUAUAUGUGUUUAUUAUAUAAGUUAGGAAAUAAACGCUAGUCUCUUAUAAAAAAUAUUACUUGCAGAAUCGACUAGAUAAUCUUAAAACAUAGUGUUAAAAUAUUUUCUAAAUUUUGUGUGAGAAUGUGAAGUAUUUUGACGUGGUCGAAAUCCUUAUGUAAAAAUAGUGCAAAUUAAGAUAGAAUUGUUGAAAAGGUAAAUUAUUUCGACAAAUUUUUUAUAAAAGAUAAUGUAAAGUGAAAAGCAAUAGUAAUGAAAUGAAAGAAAGAUUGCAAAGGAAAUAAGUUUAAGUAAAAGAUUUUGUAUUAAAUGAAAUGGUGUUUGAAAUCAUACAUUUCACUCAGAUUACUCAUUUCACGCUUCACUUGGGUACUUUGAGUUUGUGAGUUUUUGUAGUAAAUUCAACAGAACACCCUAAAUCCUAACACUAGAACUCUUAUUUAUACUAAUGUAAAAUAAUUGCUUAUAACGAUAUUAUUUUCAGAAAUUGACACAUAAUUGUUGCAUGGUUUUCACCUCUGAAACGUCUCCCACGUGUCUCUCUGGAUAAGACUAAAAGAAAGUUACUGACUUUGAAAUUGUUUCUUUGCGCCAACUGAUGUUUGUCGACGUGUCUCGCUGAUUAUUAACGUCAAAAUCUUGAACAAUGUUGCCGUCAAAAUCUUGAAUUGAAUCUAUUUUCAGAAAAUACUAAGUCUCAAUCUCUAUCUCAGAUCUGAGACUUCGAAUCCCUUAGCUGGCAAACUGAAUCGAAAUCUCUUUUCAAACUUCCAACUUUUUCCUAAUUGUGCUUAGAUUUGAUCCUGUCAAAAAUCCCAGUUAACAAAUUGUCCCUCAAAAAUGCCACUUUCGACUGAAGGAAGAUAGAGGCAUUUUUUACUUUCCUUGACACUAUUUCACAUAAUGGGCUGACGUCAUUGGCAUCAAGACAUUUCUAUCAACCGUUACCUCGAAAACAUGCAUCUUCCCAUAACUUUUAAUCAUGGAUCUGCUUUUUUAGGAUGACAUGUCUACUUAACCGCAACCGCUCGAUUUCGCCUCUAAUGGCAUGACACGUGUCACAGAAAUUGGCGCAAUUUGUCAAGAAAGCAAAACAAAAGGGUUUUUCUUGAACAAAUUGUUUCCCAUAAUCACAUAGUUCAGGGCCAUGUACUUGAUCUUUUGAUUUAUCGCUCCUGUUGGAUUUCCCAAAUAUUCGACAAUGGGUUUCCGCUAGUCAGUAUCUGACAUUAGGUCGAUGGACAAAACUUCGAAGGCUUCAAGAUUUUCAAAAAACUUAGAAUUUUCAAAGUUUGGUGAUAUCCUAGCUUCGUCUACCCCCCUCCCCCCAACUUUUAACAUUGGCAACGCCUCUAAAGAGUUGUCAGCUGAGAUUAACUUAUCUUUAAUUUCCACCAAAUCCUCUAAUAUCUCUUUGGAGAUUUUAUAACCUGAAGCAAUAUGGGAUAACUCAUUAGCCUUUUGAUUCUCCAAUCGAGGUAUAUGAUCAAUAACAACGUAGUUGAAACGUUUCAGUAAGAAUUUGGCUAUAACGAAGUACAUCAUUAAGUUCUCUUUGAUGCACUUAUAUUAUUUUUUCAAUUAUCUAACUACCAACUUUGAGUUACCUUUUAUUUCGACAUCAUUUCCCCCCAAGUCCAACAAUAUCUAAAGUCCUAUUAUCAAGGCCUCAUAUUCAACCUCGUUGUUUGAACAAAGGCUUUCGAUUCUAAAUUCGAACUUGGUUGGUAUAUCCUCUGGAACAAUUAUAAAAACUCCAACUCCAAUUUCGUCUUUAUGUCUGGAACCGUCGAAGUAUAAUUUCAAAGGCAUUUCCUUUACGUAACUUUCUAUUGCUUCGACCACUAUGUGAUCAACAAUGAACUUUGUGACAAUCUGCCCUUUUAUUGCUUUUAGAGGAUAAUAAGUUAGUGAAUAUUCAAUGAGUGCUAAUGCCCACUUCUAUAUUCGACUGUGAAGUAUAGGUUUUGACAACAUGUGUUUGAUCACAUCGAAAUGAGAAUACACAUAAACAUCAACAGGAUUUAUAUAAUGCUUUAGUUUUGUAGAUAAAAAGUAUAAACAAAGACAUAACUUCUCUAUUGCAUUAUACCUAGUUUCAACAUUAUUCAGGAUUCGACUAAGGUAAUAAAUGGCUCUUUUGACGUCAUUCUCGUCCUCUUGUGCUAAAACACUUCCUAUGGUCGAAUCCGAUGCAGAUAUGUACAAUUUCAUGUUCUUAUUUAUACUAGGAGGUAAUAAAACAGGAGGCUUUGUCACAUAGCUCUCGAUUUUGUCAAAGGCCUCUUGUUGCUCGCUCCUCCAUCUGAAAUCAUUUUCUUUCCCGAGUCGAAGUAAUGGCGAGAAAGCCUAAGUCUUGCCAUUUAAUUUGGAUAUGAACCUUCGUAGGAAGUUUAUUUUUCCCAACAAAUAUUGGAGUUGUUUCUUUGUCGAGGGAGGCUUAAGAUCCAAAAUUGCUUUGGUUUUUUUAUUAAUCUCAAUUCCUUUUUUGUGCACCACGAAUCCCAAGAAAUCUCCUACGUGGACAUAAAAAGCACAUAUUAAUGGAUUCACUUUUAAUCCAUAUUUCCUCAUCCUUUCAAAGGAUUGUCAAAGAUGGCCUAAGUGAGCAUUUUCUGAAGAGGACUUUAUGACUAUGUCAUUGAUGUAAACCUGCAUGAAUGUUUCAAUGAAGUCAUGAAACAUCGAAUUCAUAGCCCUUUGAUAGGUUUCUCCGACAUUUUUUAAACCAAAGGAAAUUAGUACCCAUUUAUAGGUUCCUAAAGCACCUGAGCAUCGAAACGUCAUUUUAGGUACGUAUUCUUCAACUCUAAAAAUAUGAUUAUAACCUAAACAUCCACCUAACAUACUUAGAUAUUUAAAACCUAUAGCGGAAUCUACUAACAUUUCUACCACUGGCAUUGGGUAUUCGUCUAUAGGUGUAGCAUUUUUCAACUCUCUAAAAUUUGUACAUACUCUAAGAGUUCCAUUAUUCUUUAUAAUAGGCACAAUAUUUGCUAACCAUUCGAAGUACUUGGUUGUUAUAAUGAACUUUCUCUUGAGAAACCUUUCGAUCUCCUCUUUGAUCUUCGACAUGAUUUCUGGAGCGAACCUCUUUGGUAGUUUCUUCACCGGCUUUUUACCAGGUCGAAUUGGUAGCUUUAAAUCCAUCAUGUUUCGAUUCAAUCUUGGAAUUUCGUUGUUAUCCCAGGCGAAACAAUCUUUGAAUUCCCUAAGCAAUUCAACCAUAUUUUCCUUCAUGCAUGGUUUGACUUUAGCGCUGAUGUAGGUUGGUCUUUUUACUACUCAAUCACCAAGAUAUAUUUCCUCAAAUGGAUCUUGGGCUUGCAUAUUCUUUAUAGAAUCAAUUGGUUCUUUUCAAACCCCAAAGGCUCGUUGUCAUAAAUACGAUCAAGCCUCCGAAUUUCUGAAGCUGUUGUUUGGCCAAAAUGGUCAUUUCCAAUUUUCCCAGAAUCUUCCAGAAUGGCUUCAAAACCCAUAUUUUGCAAUGUUACAGCCUCUGGGGCCAAGUUUAGUCUAUUUUCAUCCAUAUAUGUCACAAUCUGAGCCAAAGAGGUUGACUCAGUAGUCAUGGUCGUCGACCAUUGUCCCCCUAGUGGGUGCGACCCUUCUUUCUUUGACAGUGUGAUCUCCCACGUCUUCCUUAUCCUAGAUAAAUCUAUGGUUGGGAUAUAGCUUUAGAAAGUACGUAGCAUAUUUCUAGAGAGUGUAGGUAUCCUAUGUUUCAUAACAUGGAUGGAUUUUGGCUAGGUUCCUAUCGAAGUGCUUCUUACCAACCUUGUUAACUUCAACCAUUUAGUAACUCUGGUCAGCUUCAAUAUUCUUCACUAUGUCGUCGGGGAGCCAUAUGGCAAUCCUUUGGUUCAAAUUUGAAGGAACUACACCAAUACCAUGUAUCUGUUUGUGUCCUAGAAACAUAUUAUAGUUUGCAUCAGACACAAUCACCAUAAACAAUGUUGGCUUGAUUGUAGUACCAACUGAUAAUUCGACAUAUAUUACUCCCAGGAUAUGGCUGGUCUUGCCUUCAUAGUUUAGAUAUUUUAUAUAUGACUUCCCUAUUUUCUUAAACAAGGAAUGCAACAUUAAAUUUACAGUCGCUUCUCCGUCAACAAAGAUUUUAUUGACAACAACGUUGUCUACCUUUGCCUUUACAAACAAAAGUUUCAGGUGGUACAUCAUUCCAGCAUUUGGUGGUUGAAAUCCUGGAUGUUGCCCUAAGUUUACAUGGGACAUCCUAUUUUUCAGGAAUUUUGACUUUCCUAACAUUUGAUAUUUGAGGGGUUGGUCGAGUCUGAACCUCAGGGGUGCUGAAAAAAUCGGCUAUUCGACCCAUCUGGUUGGCCAACAACUCAUAUGUUUGGUUAGUAUUUGUAAUCAGAGGAUUGAAUAUUGUGAAGGAGAAUUGCCAUCCAAGGCGCAGCGGAAUUUAAAAAUUUCUCCAUUUAGUGAUCCUUACGAAUGGGCAUGAUCAGUGAUAGAAUCGUUACCUCUUGUGGCGAUUCAAACCUUUGGUGCAGAUCUCUGAUAAUGAUCAAAACNGAGUUUGCACCGAACUAGGUUAACAAUUACUUGUGUCUCUUGCAUUAUGUUCUUUUAUCUUUUACCCUGUUUUGUAUUGCUCAGUAUAUUAGUGUCAUGACAUUACCUUCGACAUUUAUAUCUGAUACCAGAAUUCCAAUCGUUAACAUCAUUAUGUGAGAUAGAUUGCAAGGGCAAAAAAAACUUAAGGUAAAGUCUUAGGGUAAAACUGUUUAACGAGUGUUUUUGAAAUACAUUGUUUACACAGAAUAUUAAAAUAAUUAUUUACAAUAAAUGUUUGCUCUUAUUACUUAAUUAUCUUUGUUGAUAUCUUUUCUCUUAUGUUCUAACCCUUUGGUUAAAUAGAAAAACCGAACGUUAGAAUAUUUUGUUACACUUAUAAGCAAAUAAAAUCAUAAACUGCGUUAUGCUGGGAUCAAAAUCUGUACUGAUUAUUUUUUCACCUCAGUCUUAAGAAAAUAGAGAGAAUGUAUGGUUUUUUUUUAUUUUUUUUAAGUAAUAAAAAUAGCGCGCCUUGGCUUUAUACCUCGAUUUUCAUUGUGUGAGGUGAAGCUUUGUCAUGAAAGCGUUAUUUAUUGUAGUGCCUACUUGAUACACUGGUAAUUAGUGGGCAUCUGGAUUUACUGAUUUGGUUGCAAUCGAAGAUCGAAUUAGAAAAGGAAUAAAAGAUGGCAAGAUUCUCAUCAACGUUGGGCAUCCAGCGCUCAAUAGAAGUUCUCUAAAAAUUUCAAGAAGUAAAGAAGGGAGAGAGAACAAUGUGUAUCUCUGAUGACAGAGGAAGAUCUCGCCAGAAGGAGGCCACCAUAGCAUAUGAUAUAUCAACAUCGGUGUGUGCCCAUGUCGUACUAUCCACAACCUUAUGUAGCUGAUAUUACGCUAACUAGUAGCAAGCCGCUCUUCAUUGCUUAUCAAUGUCUUUUCUCAGGGUAUACAUAGAACCUGGUAGCUCAUCACCGAGCACUGCAUAUCUCCAUGAAGUGUCUGGACGAUGCGCUAGCCCGAGUUUGCGGUGGACACAAGAUUUAUCACGUAAAUGUUAUGCCAAAAGUCUACAUUGGAAAAGCUAUCUUGUAAAGAGACAAUGAUGAUACCUAUGUGAUGGUGGUCAAGAACAUUUGAUGGAUCAAGAAAACUGUAUUCGAGAAGUUGAUCUACCCAGCUAAUAGGCCCACAUUUCCAACUAAAAUUCCAAGUUAUGGGCAUCAAUUCUGCAUACAAUUGCCUAUUGAGGAGGCCUUGGAUCCAUGUUGUAGGGGAAUGACUUCUACCAUUCAUUAGAAGAUGAAGUUGUAAGUCAAAGGCAAUUGAUCAUAAUAUCUGGUGAAGAAGAUUGAUGAUCAGUCAUCUUUCAACGUUCAGGUAUGUAGAGGCUGGCGAGGAAGCAUUGGAAACUUCUUUCCAGGAUCUCAAAAUUGCUAAUGUUGUGUUCUUGGAGGAGAAAGACCAAGACACGAAUGUGAACUCAUGAUUUGUCUCGUUGAAGAGUACGAGGGAAACGCUUGAGAAGGGAUCCCUGAAGUUGGGUCAACUGAUCAGCAUCCAGGAGAAAGGGAUCGCUUUAUAAGCCUCUUAUAGAGAGAGACGCCCGAGGUCCUACAAAUACCAUCGUUUGAAGUUUUAAAGAGGUGUUUAUUAGCAUCGGCUUCAUGCACCGACAACCAAGUGGAUGCUUUAGAAGACGAUACAACAGGUUCAUAAAUACCAUGCCUGGUAUACCAUUGUGUUGUUGCUUUGGACAACUGGGAAACCAUUGAUCUACCAGAAGUCUUUCACUUGUCAAAGUAAUUUGUUUACUCAAAUCCUUUUAAUCCUACCAAGGCUUAAGGAUCAUAUGUAGGGCCCUCUUUAUUUUAAUGAUUAUCAUCAUUAAUAACAACAUUUUGUUUAUUCAAUCUUGCUUUAUUUUAUUUGUUUUUUUAACAAAUGACAACCUUCAAAAUGACAAAAACAUUUUUUUCUAUUUUAAUUUUUAAUUUUUCACUUUCUAAAAUCAACAUUAAAAUCAUGCAAAUAAUCAAUGAAUCCGGUUGAACUUAAUAACACUACAAUCCCUCAUAACUUUGAGCUCCCCAUUAACCAAGUUGAAGAGGAGUGUGAGGACGAUUGUGGUCUUCUUAAAGAGCUGGAAAGGCUGCUCGACACAACUCCAAAGCCAUGCAGUCGCAUCAGAGGCGAUGAUGGUCAUCAACUUGGGUAUAUAGAGAAAAAGAAGAAGGUCCAGGUCAGGAUCCACACUUUGAAGCAAGCAUCAAAGAGAGGUUGGUCAAGUUUUUGCAUGAAUGUGUGGAUGUGUUUGCCAGGUCAUAUAAAGAUAUGCAAGGACUAGACACAUACAUUGUUGAGCACCGACUACCACUACAACCGAAUGCCUGCCCUGUGAAGCAAAAGAUGGUGAGAACUAGUCCUGACAUGUCCAUCAAAAUCCGGGAAGAGAGGUCAAGACACGUUCGACACAGGAUUUCUAGUAGUGGCUAAGUACCCUAAAUGGGUUGCCAACAUCGGUUUGUGCCCAAAAAAGGAUGUCAAAGUGAGUUUGUGUGUUGACUAUUAGGUAUUUAAACAAAGUAAAUCCAAAGGACGACUUUCUCUACCAUAUAUUGAUACACUGGUAGACAACACUGCCAAGUUCUCCGUCUUCUCCUUCAUGAAUGGUUUCUCAGGCUAUAAUCAGAUUAGGAUGACGUUCGAGGAUAUGUUUUCUGUUAUUGAAACUCAAGUUAUUUUGAUGGAACUUUUACCUUCAUUAACAAGAUUUAAUCGAUGGUAAUUAAAGAGAAGAGUAAGUUAUUGCUUUACUUCAUAAAGCUGAUGAUAGUGUUAAUGCUGAAGAAUUAAAUACUUUGAUAAAUUCUUAUGAUGCAGAUCGUGGUAAAGUUCAGACAUCUACUCAUUAUAAUGGUUACAGAAGGAUACUAGAUUUGCACUCAUUGUGAUAGACUUGGUCAUAUCUAAAUGUGGUUUCAGAAAAAACAUGUUAUCUCCUUAUUUUGCAUGAAACAUAUCUAUUAGUGCUUACAAUUAUAAUGGUGGUGAGGAGAAAAAUAAGUUGUCACUAGAAGACCAUAGGAAAACCAUUCUCCAAUGCCCUUAUGCGAAGACAUGUGAGUUAGACAUUUCACCAAGACGGAUUCACAUCUGACCAAGUUAAUCGAUCAAACACAUCAUACCAUUUAACAACCUUUCAACUAAUAAAUUCAUAUUAGUAUUGAUAAAUUCACCCUAUAAGCUCUUACACUUGGUUAAGCGAGAAUUUUGUAUUAUUUAUUACUCCCACUUCUCGACUAGCCACUGUGUUUUCAGACUAUGACAUCAGAUACACCUCAAUCAGAGAACUACUCAUUGGUAUGGAAGAGACAUUUACGUUUUUGCCUAAGAGAUGAUAGAAUAUUGAUAAUUCCGAAGACACAAAAAGAAAAAUUUAGGAUCAAAUCGCAACCUUAAAGAUUUAUGCAUCAUUUUGCGAUGUCAAACAGUUAUGUUUAUUAAGACAACAUUGUCCUCGAAUCAACAUGAAUAUAAUAUUUUUAACAAUAAAUGGUCCCAACAAGGCAACUUUAAUCUACAAAUACAAGACUCCAUCAGCCAAAGGCUUUGAGAGACUACUAUUCCAGGAUGUGCUUUUUCUUUAUCUAAGUCCAAUAUCUCUACUUCAAGUUUAUAUAAACUUAAUCUAUAAACAUUAAGGUACACUUCUUAACCUGAAAAUAUUUUCACAUUUGAUUGUCAUUCUCUGAAUUUUAAAGUGUUUGCAGAUAUAGCGACAUCAAACUAGAACAUCUAGACGCCAACAAUCAUGCAGUCUCCAUUAUUACAUUUGAUUGUGAUUGUCUGAAUUUUAAAGUGUUUGCAGAAGAUACCCCGACAUCAAACUAACCAACAAUGAUGUAAUCUCCAUUAUUUCAAUAUUAACAUUAUAACCCGAGUUCUUUCAACAAAAUAUAUAAAAAGAGUUCAAGAUAAAAUAUUUUAAAAUUGUUUUUGAUGAAAAUUAUCAAAAAAUUAUUCUUUUUAUUUAAAAAUUAUUUUUUAACUUUUUUUCGAAAAAAAAGUAAUAUAAAGUAUAUUUUAGAAAACUUUCAAUUUUAAAAUUUUCCUUAUAGUAAUCUUUAAAUUAUUGGUGUGCCGUACAUAAUUAAUAAAGGGAUUGGUUAGGCAAAUAGAAACCACGGUCCCUAAACGUGGUUUUCAAUAUCCCUAAACAAUACAGAUGGCGACAACAUGCAUAGGAAAAAACAGCGGCGACCGCAACAAUAAACAGCAGUACCGGCUAACAGAAAACUCAUAAUCUGAACCACUUUACUCAACUCAUUCAUUUCAAUUUAUAUAACUUUGAGAAUUUCAUAUUAACCAUCAACUUCAAAUUCAUCAUCAUACAAUUAAUCUCGAAAUUCAUUUGCAAUGGCUUCGUUGAUACUUUUAUUUUCGGACCUUCUUUGGAUCCAUGAGUGGGAUGCUACAGCUCUAUUAGCCACAUAUCCUCCAUCUUCUCUUCUUCUUCAUCGGCUCCUGCUGCUCAGAGAAACUUUGAAAGAUGAAGAAACUGUGAUUGAGAAUAAUCCAUGGAAUUUGAAUCCAGGGUAUGUGUGGAUUUGUUUGGCCUUAAACUUCUUCAACUUUCAUUAGGAGAUGAAAACUGAUGUAUUCUACUGUACUGAAAUGUAAUAACUUAGUGUAAUUUUGUUUAAUCUUCUUUACUUUAUUAUUAGGAGAUGAAAUGAUUCGGUAUGGUGUAUGGGGUCUGAGUAUUGUAACUUAGUUAGACAUGUUCUUAGGAUAACAUUAUCCUUGAUUAACAGAAAACAGUCCUAACAAGGGAACCUUAAUACAAAUGCAAGACUACAUCAGCCAAAGGCUUGAGAGACUACUAUUCUAGUAUGUGUUUUUUCUCGAUCUAAGCGCAAUACCUCUACUUCAAGAAAAUUAGGCAGGAAUUACAUGUCAUCUGAAAAGAAGAAUAUUAUAAAUAAUUUAUUUAUUAGUAUAAAUAAGAAUUUAAUGUUGGAUAUCAGAGUGUUCUUUCGAAUUUACUUAAAAACUCCAAAUCACGUACCCAAAACAAAGCGAGAAAUGAGUUAUCUGAGGGGGAAUAUAUGAUUUCAAAUACCAUUUCAUUUAAUGCAAAAUCUUUUACUUUAAUUAUUUCCUUGAGAUCUAUCUUUAAUUUCAUUACUAUUUCUUCUUCACUUUACAUUAUCUUUUAUAAUUUGUGUCACUUUCUCAUUGUCGAAAUCAUUUACCUUUCAAGCAAUUAUACCUUAAUUUGCACUACUUUUAAAUAUAGAUUUCGCCACGUCGAAGCACUUCACAUUCUCGCACAAAACUAAGAAAGAUUUUUAUUACUACGUUCUAGGAUUAUCUGGUCAAUCCUGCAAGUAAUCUUUUAUAAAGACAAACAUUGUUUACUAAAUUUCACAGUAAACAAAAUUGGCACGCCCAGUGGGACGUUGUGCUAAAACCUUUUUCUAUUAUAGAUAUUAUAGUUUUCUUUAGAAUUUUUUUGCGUACAUGAAAUGUUAUGAUAUUUGCGUGCAUUUAAGAAGUGGAAAGAUUUACAAAAAUGAUGCGUCCUUCUAUGGAUAACUCUAACAUCACCAACAAUCCUCAAAAUUAGUAGAAUAAUUAGUCAGAUCGACGGUUGGAAGACAAUUAUUUCAACGCCUGAAUUCCACUUUAACCCCGUAGUUGCAAGACCUAUGUUAGUUUUUCGACGCCAAUGAAUAGGAGGGACUACUCUUAUGGCAUUGCCAAUAUCGAUGAUGACUGACCUUCACAUAACAUGUCGACAUAUAGUGAAAACGCAAUGGCCACGAGGCCAUCAUAAUCGCCAUAAUUCCUCUUCUUCAACCAUAAAUAAUAUGGUUUGACCACGAGGGAUACUUUUAUCCCUCAAGUGACACCAUCAUUAGAUACGAUGUCUAUGAUGACUAUAUGAGGCAACAAAUAUAUGAAUCAAUCUUGAAAUGGUUAACACUUUGACCCACAAAUGGGCUACAAUAUGUUAGUGUAAGCCCUAGAGGCCAAUACUUUUGGUACUUGUAUCGAAUUAUUUAUUAUUAAUAAAAGGUUUUUUUUUGUUAUGUUUGAUUAAUAAAGUCCCUAGAAUAGCAGUCCGUUUAAUGUAUCAAGUAUGACUUAAUCAUAGAUCACAUUAAACAUAAGGACACUAUCCUUAAAGUAUCCGGAGUCGAGCUUUAUUGUGAAGUGGGAUAACAUUAAAGCAUAAGACUAUUAUGUUUUAGACUGAUGAUCACAUAUCAUGGAUCUGGAUAAAGGUUAUCAAGUAUUAACAUAGGUAUGAUAUUAGAGUAAUAUUUAUACCGAAUUGACCCGCAAUGAGAAUACUAUAUAGAAAGUUAUGCAAAGUGUCAUAAGUUAUUCUUCAUGGUGAUAAUGGUGUUACCACUCUUCGACCUGAAACCACUAUGGACCCUAGAUGUAGAGUCGAGUGCUUUAUUGUGAUCCAACGUUGUCCGUAAUUGGAUAACCAUAAAGACAGUUGAUUGGUACUCCACAAAGCAUGCUGAGGGACAUGAGUGUCCUAGAUGGAAUUUGCCCAUCCUGCGUAACAGGAUAAAUGUCUAUGGGCCCAAUAUUGAACUGGACAAGGAUGACACGGUCUAUACCUUAUGUUCAAUAUAGACAUAAGGGCAAAAGGGUAAUUAUACACAUAAUUAUUAUCACAGGAGGUUUGUCAGAUCACAUGAUAUUUUCGUGUCUUGGGUAGCAGUGAUGUGUUGCUAGAUACCGCUCACUGUUUAUUAUGUUAAAUGCCUGAUUUAAUAAUUGCCAACGUCGCGAAAACCUACAGGGUCACACACAAAGGACGGAUUGAUGAGAAAUAGAGUAACUAAGGAACACCGUAAGGUACGGUGCACUUAAGUGGAUACGAAUAUGGUAAGGUACCACACGCUUAAGUGAUUUUGGGCAUAUAUUAUAAGAUAUGGGCCAAAAUACACUUAAGUGGGCUUUUUAGCUUGAAGCCACACAAGUGGUUCUAUAAAUAGAACCCUUGGUAGAAGCAUUGUCACUCAGACUAACACUCAAGUGGAGACUUGGAAUUUCGUUUCCCUCUCUCUCUCUCUCUCUCACUCAAAGCCUUCAUUCGUACCAGCUAGCACUGAGAUUGAAGGAACCCGUUCGUAUGAUUGAGUAGAGACGUUGUCAUCGUUCAACGUUCGUUAUCGCUCCGUGGAUUUGUAUCCAAGUUUUUUGAUCGUUACAAGAGAUCUCCACAAUAAAGCUCGACUACGGAUACUUUAAGGAUAGUGUCCUUAUGUUUAAUGUGAUCUCAUGAUUAAGUCAUACUUGAUACAUUAAACGGACUAGCUAUUCUAGGGACUUUAUUAAUCAAACAUAACAAAAAAAAACCUUUUAUUAAUUAAUAAAUAAUUCGAUACAAGUACCAAAAGUAUUGGCCUCUAGGGCUUACACUAACAUAUUGUACCCAUUUGUUGGGUCAAAGUGUUAACCAUUUCAAGAUUGAUUUCAUAUAUUUGUUGCCUCAUAGUCAUCAUAGACAUCGUAUCUAAUGAUGGUGUCACUUGAGGGAUAUAAAGUAUCCCUCGUGGUCAAACCAUAUUAUUUAUGGUUGAAGAAGAGGAAUUAUGGCGAUUAUGAUGGCCCUGUGGCCAUUGCGUUUUCACUAUAUGUCGACAUGUUAGUGUGAAGGUCAGUCAUCAUCGAUAUUGGCAAUGCCAUAAGAGUAGUCCCUACUAUUCAUUGGCGUCGAAAAACUAAACAUAGGUCUUGCAACUACGGGGUUAAAGUGGAAUUCCAGGCGUUGAAAUAAUUGUCUCUUCAACCGUCGAUCUGACUAAUUAUUCUACUACAUUUUGAGGAUUGUUUUGUGAGUUAGAGUUAUCCAUAGAAGGACGCAUCAUUUUUUGUAAAUCUUUUCCACUUCUUAAAUGCACGCAAAUAUUCAUAACAUUUCAUGUACGCAAAAAAAUUUCUAAAGAAAACUAUAAUAUCUAUAAUAGAAAAAGGUUUUAGCACAACGUCCCACUGGGCGUGCCAAUUUGUUUACUGUGAAAUUUAGUAAACAAAUGUUUGUCUUUUAUAAAAAGAUUACUUGCAGGAUUGACCAGAUAAUCCUAGAACGUAGUAAUAAAAAUCUUUCUUAGUUUUGUGCGAGAAUGUGAAGUGCUUCGACGUGGUCGAAAUCUAUAUUUAAAAGUAGUGCAAAUUAAGGUAUAAUUGCUUGAAAGGUAAAUGAUUUCGACAAUGAGAAAGUGACACAAAAUUUAUAAAAGAUAAUGUAAAGUGAAAAGAAAUAGUAAUGAAAUUAAAGAUAGAUCUCAAAGGAAAUAAUUUAAAGUAAAAGAUUUUGCAUUAAAUGAAAUGGUAUUUGAAAUCAUAUAUUCCCCCUCAGAUAACUCAUUUCUCGCUUUGUUUGGGUACGUUGAGUUUGUGAGUUUUUUAAGUAAAUUCGAAAGAACACUCUGAAUCCUAACAUUAAAUUCUUAUUUAUACUAAUAAAAUAAUUAUUUAUAAUAUUCUUCUUUUCAGAUGACAUGUAAUUCCUGCCUAAUUUUCUUGAAGUAGAGGUAUUGCGCUUAGAUCGAGAAAAAACACAUACUAGAAUAGUAGUCUCUCAAGCCUUUGGCUGAUGUAGUCUUGCAUUUGUAGAUUAAGGUUCCCUUGUUAGGACUGUUUUCUGUUAAUCAAGGAUAAUGUUAUCCUAAGAACAUGUCUAACUAAGUUACAAUACUCAGACACACCAUACACGAAUCAUUUCAUCUCCUAAUAAUAAAGUAAAGAAGAUUAAACAAAAUUACACUAAGUUAUUACAUUUCAGUACAGUAGAAUACAUCAGUUUUCAUCUCCUAAUGAAAGUUGAAGAAGUUUAAGGCCAAACAAAAUCCACACAUACCCUGGAUUCAAAUUCCAAUGGAUUAUUCUCAAUCACAGUUUCUUCAUCUUUCAAAGUUUUUCUCUGAGCAGCAGGAGCCGAUGAAGAAGAAAGAGAAGAUGGAGGAUAUGUGGCUAAUAGAGCUGUAGCAUCCCACUCAUGGAUCCAAAGAAGGUCCGAAAAUAAAAGUAUCAACGAAGCCAUUGCAAAUGAAUUUCGAGAUUAAUUGUAUGAUGAUGAAUUUGAAGUUGAUGGUUAAUAUGAAAAUUCUCAAAGUUAUAUAUAAUUGAAAUGAAUGAGUUGAGUAAAGUGGUUACAGAUUAUGAGUUUUCUGUUAGCCGGUACUGCUGUUUAUUGUUGCGGUCGCCGCUGUUUUUUCCUAUGCAUGUUGUCGCCAUCUGUAUUGUUUAGGGAUAUUGAAAACCAC
rnacentral:lncRNA from 1 species